UGAGGCAUUGCACCUUCGAUAUUAAUUUUUGUUUGACUUUUUUAUUUGUUCCUGAGCCGUAAAUCUAUUAAAAACCAAUCUCUCUACUUAUCUUUGAGCUAGAGAUAAGGUUUUCGUAUACUCAAUCUUCUCCAGACUCUACUUUGUGGAACUACACUGUUAUGUUAUUAUUGGUGUCUCUUAUUUGUCUUUUGAUAUCACUAUCCACUUUUGUGACAAUUAUGUAUAUUCCCUGUGUCAGUUUCAAUUUUUUUCUCUUGACCUUUUUCAGAAAAGUACAAUAAUUGAUAGUUUUAUCCUAUGUUAGCCGACAAAGUGUUUGUGUUAAUAAGAUAUACUUAUUUUUCUUUUCCUCGAAAGUUAUUUCAAAUCAUAUUGGUAUUGCAUAUUCUGAGUGUUGUAUUUAAACAUGGAAAAGAAAAAUUUUGAUGGUGCAUGAAUCUAAUUCUAUUAUAUUUUAUUAGACAGGGCAGAUUUCUUUAUCAGAAUAAAAGAUCUUGCUUGGUGUUGUUGGUUUUUGGGUGCAAACAUAUUAACAAAAGUUAUUUUGUUUACAAACAAGGGAUCAAAACACAAUGAUAUCUAUUUUUUUUUCUAAUUCUCGUUAAACAUUUAAUUAUAUAAAGACUUGCAACUCGAGUAUUUUAUUCUUGCAAACACUUCCUAAUCUUCAAAAUAGCUACAAACUUUUACAAAAAUGAAAAAAACUAAAUUUUAAGGGAUCUCGGCUUAUUCCAAUGGUGAUUUUGCCAAUGCAAGCACACUUAUUUAGACAUGACUAACGUUCAUACCAAAGUGUUACUGGAUAUAUACGUUAUAAUUAAUGAAAAUUAAGAUGACAAUUAAACUUUAGUUAAUGCAAUAUAAUUGAAUGAGGUUAUACAAAUCAAAUCAUACAAAUUGAAAUAAUUAAUAUUUUUAAUAUCAUCCGCGCGAUGCGCGGGUAUACAUACUAGUAUAUAUAAAAGCAAAACUAGAAGUAAGACAAGAAGCCACAUGACAAGCUAUUGAGAAGCCACGUGGCAAUUUUAGGAUAAAGGUUAAUAUUAUUGUAAUAAAAUUUUUGAAUUAAGGGAUAUUAAAUAUUUGAAUUUGAAAAUGUAUUAUCUUUUUAAAAAGAAAAAAGGUCAUUAGAUGAAAAAUAGAAAAGUGUGAUUAAAGAGUCCUAAAUAAACUCUUGCUAUUUUAAAAAUUUAUUCCUUUAUAAACUAUAAAAUAUAUUUGAAUACAUUUAAUUUAAUUUAAUUUAAUAAUAAUAAUAAUAAUAAUAAUAAUAAUAAAUAUUAGUAAGUAUAUUUGAUUUAAGAAUAAAAAUAUAAUGAUAAUAAUAAUAAUAAAUGAAUAAUAAUAGUAGUAGAGACACUACGUAGUGUUGUAACAGUAGUAGGAGUAAGAAAAAAAAGAUAAUAAUAAUAAAAAUAAUAAUAAUAAUAAUAAUCUAUAUCUAUAAUCUAUAAUAUAUUAAAAGUGUGAAAACAUUUAGAAAGUGAUUUGAACUUUUUGUCCUUCGUUAAAAGACUCCGCAGUAGACAAAAUCGUCUUUUACCUCUUUUUUUCAAUUAUUAGUUGAAAUAUUUAACGAGUUUUAAAUUGAUUAAAACUUAUAUAUAAAUUCUUUACUUAUUUAAACUAUACACCAUAAUUAGAAUAUCUUUCAGUUUUUAAAUUUCUUUUCCAACAAAAAAAAUUACAAUAAUUAAGUGUCGAGAACGUUGUUAGGACAAAUUUUAGUACUAUUUUAACUAUUCCUAUUAAAGAGGAAGUCUAAUUAGCUUAUAUUUAAAAGGAAAGAAUAUACAAUAGAAUAACCAGGAAAUUAUUAAGUAUUAUUUAGUAUUUUACUAUUGAUUUUUUUUCCUCAAAUAGGUUUUCUGUGAAUUUCUAAGUUUAUGGAAAGUUUUUUGUUACAUGAUUCCUAAUAUUAAGGACUCCUAAAUAUAUUGUAUAAAACUAAACUUAUAAACAUGUAACCCACGUUAGUUUGAAUAGUUCUUCAUUAUUUUGUAUCAAAUUUGUAUUGACUAUUUUCUCUUUUUUUUUUUUUUUUUGGGUUAGAGGAUGCUUUCAAGGUAAUUGUUUGAGGUUAGCUUUCAACUUUUCACUUAAUUUGAUUGUUUUUGUAGAAUACUUAACAACGUAUUUGUUUUAUAUAGUCAUAUCCUUUAUCUUCAAUAUUACUAUUAAAAUUUGUGUCAUGUCUUGCAGUCUGGUUCUCUUGAUUCUCUAAAGGUGGAUGAACAAGAUGCUAAAUUUAAAGUUUUAAAAAUUUCAUUGUAGCACGAGUAAGUGUGUUAGAAAGACAAGUUAUCGAUGUACUAAUCAAGUGUUAGAAAGACAAGUUAUCGAUGUACUAAUCAAGAAGUGAGGUAUAAAAAUCGCAAACUUAAGUCUUGAGUUUUUUUUUGCCACACAAAAGUAGAGUCGAAGAGUCUUUUAGCUAGGUGAAUUUACAUUCAAAACUGAUCCUAAAAUAUUAGGAACUCACAAGUUGCUUCAUCACAAGAUCGUAAAGCAGUUUGUCAUGAUCAAGGAUUUAGCUUGAUGUGAGUUUGGCUCAUCAGAGGUAAGGAGUAACAACAACUGUUAUUUGACUUUUAUUUAAUUAACAUUUUAUGUCUGAAGAUCACUUUUGUUGAUAAUUAUAAAUUAAGAAAUCACUCUAUUUGAGAUUAUGUUUUAUUUUUUAAUUAUUGUUAUUUUUGAAUUGUGAAAGUGCUUCUAUUCUCUUCUCUUGAAUAACAUAUUGUCUUUGAAGAAAAAGUGGAUAAAAUUAUCUAAUUUUAAAUAAUCAAAAGUUACACGUGCGGCUAAAUUAGUAAUAAUAAUAUCAUAUUAGAUUUAUAUAAUAUUUUUUAAGGAGUUCUAAUGUAUAUAUCCUUAUAAAUCUUAUCAAUAUGCUUUAACUUUAUCUGAAAAGUUAUCAGUUAGUUUAAAUUAAAUAUUUAAACCAACUUUACUUACUGCUUCUUCUUUGUAACAACAAUAAAUUACAAAUGGUUUACAUUAAAUUUUCAAUUAAGGAUUAAUAUUAAUAAGCAAUUUAGGAUUUUCUUUUUUGUGGAGAUUUUAUAUCUUUUAUAUUAGAUGUUUGCAUUAAUAUAAUAAAACUUACUUAAACUAAUGUAUUGGAAACGAAGAUUUUAAUUUAUGUUUUGUAACCAAAAAAAGAAGACAAAAGAGAAUAAAAACAGAAAAAAGUAUGAAAUAAAUAAACUAUGAUUAAUUAUUAUUAUUAUUAUUAUUAUUAUUAUUAUUAUUAUUAUUAUCUCAUCGAUUUUAAUAUUUAUAUCAACUCAAAUAUAUGAAUUAUAAUAUAAAUAUGUAUUAUAUUUGAAAAAUGAGGAUAAGGAAGACGAGUAACUAAUCUUCUUUUAACAAAUCUAUAAUAUUUGAAUUAGAAUUUAAAUAAAAUUUGAAUUGGAAUAGAGUUCUAUCACUUCGCUAUUAUUAUAUAUACUCUUGUAUUAUCAACUUUAUUCAUAAAUUUUUUUUACUCCAUUUUUUGUUCUUCAUUCUUCAUUUUUUUUAAAAUGUAUUUUAUUUAACACUUUUCUUUUUGUAUGCAAGAGUGUUAUACAUUUUCAUCUUCAUCUUUCUCUGUUGCUGUUCAAAGUCUAUGAAUUUAAAUUAAUAUUAAUAUCUCAUUUUUUUCAAUGAUUCGACUUAUGAAGUAAUAUUGUUAUCACUAUUUUUUUUUUCACCAUAAUCAUGUAUUUCUACCUUUAUCUUUUUCUAUUCCUUUAGUGGUUGUUAAAGUUUAUGACAAUUUCUUUAUUUGAAUUCAUAUAUCAAUUCUAUAUCAAAGGUUUUCUUGAAAAUAUAUUACUGAAUGUUUACUCUAAAUCUUUGUAUAUGAAUUUAUCAUCAUUUUUAAUGGAGUACGCUUAUAUAUUUAAUCAAAAUAAAAAAUACUUAUAUACUUUGUUUCAUUUCAAUUAUGCACUAAUUUUUUGUAGCUCAAAUUAUUUUUGAAUACAUAAAAAGCAUAAUUCAUUUGGAGAGAUAACAUGCUUGAACUUAACUAUAAAAAUUUUUCUUUAUGAUAAUGAAGAUACUAAUUAAUAGCUAUUAGUUGAUUUUGAACUUAAAAUAAAUUAUUUGAUGUGAUUAUUCGGUAUUAGUAAUAGAAUAUAUGCUAAAAUAAAUUAACACUUGAUUUUUUAUCAGUACAAUAAAAUAUAUUUUCCGAAAGUAUUUAUUUAUAUCUAAUACAAAAUAAUAUAAAUGGAUAUGAGAUGGGUGAUGGAUAUUGUGAUUGGGUGGGGGGAUAGGGAAUUAUGGUGGUUGGGGCAAGGUAGGGUGUGGGUUAAGUGGGUGGGGUGGCGGAGUAGUGGAUGUAGGCGGAUUGGGAUUAAGGGCAGAAAUCUUUUAAAAAAAAUUUAAAGCUUAAAAAAAAUCAGGGAUCAAGGUAAGGGAAUACUAAGAAUUUUUUUUAUAAAAAUAGUUUCUAAUAAUAAAAUAAAUAAAUGCUUUUGGGUUGUGUAGAGGGUCUGGGUGGGUGGUGGCAUGUAAGGGGGGGGCUAGGGUAAUGAAAAAAAUUUACUUAAAAAAUAAAAUAAUUUUUUUUGAUUUGUUUGGGAGGGCUGACUAGGUGGAUAAAAUUCUUUUUACAAAAAAUAUUAAAAAUUUAAAAAUAAAAAAGAGCGGGGAAAAGGGGUGGGGGAUGAGCGUAGAAUUUGGUGGAGUAGGUCGUUUUGAAAGUGAUUUCAGAGAACUUAAUAAAUAAAUACUUUAAUAUAUUUACAAUAAAUUGAACACGAUAAAAAAAUUAUUAAAAAAAUAAAUUCUAGGUGCUUAGUUUUUGAAUUGAGGGUGCUUAAAUUUAAAUUUUGAAAGUUUUAUAAUUUGCAUAAUUAAAUUCUUUUUGUGUUAAAAUAGAAUUUAAGAUAAUUUUUUUCUUUAAAAUGAGCAAAGUUUGCUGAAGUUAAAUUGAUAGACAAAAAAAUUGAAAUGUGAAAUGAAAAGAAAUGUAAUUACAUUUCUUAAUUGAUCAAAAAUAUAACGGUAAUAAUCCACAACAAAAUCAAAAAGUAUUUAACAUUUAAUAUUUUGUUAUUUUAAAAACUAGUUAGUGAAAUAUGAUUAAAUAAAACACUAAUAUUAUAACUUUUCAUAUCAAAAUAUUUAAAAUAAUUGCAAAUGUGAUUAGUUAUUAAGUAUUAAUUGUAAUUUCACUAUUAGUAAUUAUUUUUAAUUUUAAUAAUUCACAAUUAAUUUAAAGUAUGUUAAAAAUUGAAUAAUAUAUUAUUUCAAUGUGAAUAAACAAAUAUUUUUAAUGAAUAUUUUUUAAAAAAUAUUUCGUGCGGGUACCUAUACUAGUUAUCCUUUUAAAAAAAUUCAUUAUCUUAGCAAUAGAAACUCAUAAUUAAAGAGUUCUAACAGACAUAUACUAUUCAAACUUAUCUCUUUUAAAAUUUAAAUGUUAUUAAAUAUAUUUAAAUAUAAUUUUUUACAUGUUAGGAAAGAUAAAAAAAUAUUAAAAUAAUAAUAAUAAUAAAUAAUAGUGGUAGAAGCAAUAAUAGUAGCAGUAGUACGUACGUAUAGGAAAAAUAACAAUAACAACAACAACAAUAAUAAUAAUAAUAAUUAAAAACAAAAAAAAAUAUAGUAGUACAUACGAAGUAGUAGGUGGUGGUAAGUUAAUAAACAAAACAAAAUAUAGAAGUUGUGGUACAUAAUAAUAAUAAUAAUAAUAAUAAUAAUAAUAAUAAUAAUAAUAAUAAUAAUAAUAAUAAUAUGUUAUUUAUUAUGAUGAAAUAUGUCAUAUGUGGUUUGAUUUCAAAUUAUUCUUUUAAUUUAACAUUAUAAGAAAAAGAGAAAAUGGCCAAAAGCACCCCCAAAAGAUAGAUAAUUGAAUUAGAUUUGCAACACUUAAAAUUUCACCUUAAUACGAUAUUAGAGUAAAAAGUUAUGAUCAAUUUACUGAAGCACUGUCAAAGCUGCCAGUGGUGACGACUCAGACUAUAAGUCAUCGUCAGACCAUACAGAUCAUUGGGUCACUCUACGAGUCGUAGGAUGAACUGUAGUGACAACAGAGGGGACCAAAAUUUGAGUCUCACACAAUGACUCAUGCCACGACUAAUCCCUAGACCCUACGGGUCGUUACCAAACUCAUGAUACCAACAACUUUUCAGAUGAUUUUAAAAGGGUUAUUUGGUAUUUUUCCACUCUCUUAACCCUAAAAUUAUGUUGUUUCAGCUGUUACAAAAGGUAUAAGUCUAUUUAAUCAUCCCAAAUUUCUCAUUAUUUUCCCCAAACUCAUUCUAAGUUAGAAAAUCAAGUGAUUCAACUCUCAAAAAAGCCUAAGCCUAGGAUUUUUCUCAAAGCCAAAUUCCCAAGGCUUUAGUCCUAGAUUUCAUCAGUCCAGGUAUGUGGGUAUUUAAUAAGGGAUCCUUUCACCCUUAUGCCAAAGUCUAGUUUUAAAAUAUAAAUUAUAGUUAUGAUUUAUAUGAACUCGUGAUCUAGGUUAAUACCCAAUUAUUCCAAAUUCUUGAAAAUCCAAUUCUAUCAUGUUUUUCUAUUAAAUUCCCAUUCAAAGUUAUUAUGAAUGAUUUUCAUGACUUAAACUCAAUUAUUUUAUUAUGAAUGAUUUUCAUGACUUAAACUCAAUUAUUUUGAUAUGUGAUGGAUUAUGUAUGUUUUAUAGAUUUCAACCUAUUUCAGAAUGAAUUAUGCAUGACUUAGUGGAUUUUAGUCUAUAUUAGUUGACAUAUCAUAUUUUUUUAGAAAAUUUGUAUCUUUACAUACUUAAAAUUAUGAACCCUCAGUAUGUUUAUAAAUUCAUAAUUUUGGACUUGUGUGAUGAAAUUUCAUAUUUCUCUUCAAAUUAUGAAAUUUAUCAUGAUAGUUUCAUUUUUAUGAGAUGGCGGGUUAUGAACACCCAAUGACUUAAGAUAUCAUGUAUUGUCAGUCAAACACUCAGUCUUUCAAUUUUUAUGAUUUUGAAUGCUUUCAGACACAAAACUUAUCUUUCAACCUUAGGACUUCAGUAUUAUUGAGUUACUCAGUAUAUCAAUUUAUAUUUAGUUUGGAGUAGUAUUAGCACCGAGCGGACGCAGGGAUAAGGCUCACCAUCAGUUGGGCUGAGACCUUUAGUAGAAGUCCCUAAUCUUAAAACUAUGGCAUCACCGUAGGUUCUAAAAGGUUACCGAUCAUACCAGGCUUGACACCUUAUUUCUUUUGGACAUCAGUUUGGUGGUGCCACGUCAGAUCAACCUUUAUACCCUAGCAAGGUAUAUUGGGCCCUUUUGAUAGGGUUUAUACAUCAAACUUUAUAUUUAGCUCACAUGGUUAUAUACUAGUUAAUGGUAUCUUCCACAAAUCAAACUUAGUUAUUGCAUGACCUCAUGUUCAGUUUAUUCAGUACAAUAUUAAUCAAUUAUAUGUUUAUUUCAUGUUCUAGUUACCUAUAAUCAGUAUUAGUAGAGGCUUCAUAGAUAGUCAAUUAGAAUUGUCGUAAUCAGUUUCUCUUUCUUUUUAGAAUACAAAUGUUGUAACUAAACUUUCAAAUAGUAGAUGUAUUAAACUAGUUUAUUCUGUGAUUAUGUUUUUUCUUAAUUAGUUUAGCUUUAUAUAUGUUUUAAUUAGUUGUUCAAGAAUUAUGCUACUACCAUGGGUUACCUUAGGAUUACUUGUAGUUCUAAGCACCAUGUUAUAAUUAGGGGGUAGGCUCAGGUCGUGACACAAGGUCAUGUCAUGUCAAGAGCAAAAUAAACAAAUCAAGGAAGAUAAUGAUGAAGGAGGGGGGAGGGGGGGACAAUGGUCCUAGAACAAUCAACAAAAGAACCAAAGAGUUCAAAAAUCAAGAAAAACCUAACUUAGAUGAAACUAAGGUGGUUAACCAGGAAGACAACGACAAAGCUAGGAAAAACCAGGGUUGAUGUCCAUCUAGCAAUAACAAUGAAGAGAAAUCUUAUCAAUUCUCUCAAAGGGAAGUGGGCAGUUGAUCCUUCCUUCUAUCAAAGCAAACACAAUGAAAACGUUAAGUCAUCCGCAAUGUGUCAUUCAGAAAAGCCUUAUUUUAUCCGAGUGGGAUGGAUAAAAGUAUCCUAGGCCAAUUUACCCUUGACAGAUACUGCAUCUAAAGAUGGUCUUUUUCUUACAAUAAUGUUUUUCUUGAAGUCGUUGUUUCAUGCUUUAACAUAGCUUAAAAUUUUCUUUCCUUCUAUUUAAGAACUACGUUUGACCUGAAUUCUCAAGAAUGAGAUAUGUAGGCAGCCUAUGUUGGCUUCGAUCAACCCCUUAGGAAAAUCUAUCCUUCUCAUUUUAUGUAUGAACUACGUGAUGACCUGAAUUCUCAGGUAUGAGAUACGUAGGCGACCGAUAUCGGCUUUAGUCAUCCUUUAGAUUUCUUCUAUGUCUGCUUCCUGCUUCACAAGAUACAUAGACACCCCAACAACUCGGUCAUAUCACCUCAGGAAAUGGAAACUGGGCAGAAUUUUUGAGAAGGAAUCUCAAAAAUUCAAAAGAAAAAGAUCAUCCUCCAGCAAAAAAAACAAGACUAGUAAAGACUUUGAGGGAAAUUCUCGAGAUCCUCUCACGCCAAGAUCAUCUCAAACAGUAUCAAACUGGGGUAGAAAUUUUGAGGAGGUCCCAAAAAUUUCCAAUAAUAUACUUGAAUGUAUUCUAAAUUCCCCAACACUAAGAGGUCAAAGUCAAGCUUCAUAAAUCACCAGCCACCAUAAAGUCUAGGUAGAAUAAAUCUCCAGCUAGGAUAAAACUUUUAACAAAACUAUGUUGCAGAACUUCUCAGCAAUGAUAAUGAGUUUCUAGAAAUCCUCCAUCAGAUAUCAGAUAUAAUCAGACCUCAGGCAGGAGAUGUUCAUUAAGCUAGCACAUGACAUCACUGGCACAGAUUUUUUACAAGAUUUUACAUAAAUUUUUGAAACUAAGUUUUCAGAAAGCCAAAAAUAUUUUGAAAAUCUAUACAAAGUUAUUCUACUUAACUAGUUUUUGCCUAACAUCUAUUGAAACAGAGAGUCAAGGCGGAAGUCCAAACAUGACGGAGUACCCCAAAGAUGACAAGAAGCAAACCAAAGAUCAAAUGAGGUCAACACGGAGUAGUUUCAUCUAAAACUAAUAUUUUUUCGGUGGAUGAAGGGAUCAAUACACAAAAAUAAGGGUCUUAUUCAAAAAUCCCCAAGCGAAUCGAGAACCGCACCAAAGUAUUUAAUGCACAAGAAUGGUAUUUUUGGGUAUCCCCAAAGAAGCGUUCAAUUACACAUUUAUAAAGGACCUUUUGACUUUUUUAUAUUAUCUCAAGAGAAUAUGGAUUACAAAUAAAAGUGUCUUAUCUUCUUUAUGAAUAUUUUAUUCAGAACUUUUUCUAAAAAAAGUCGCUAGUAAAAAUGAAUCUAUGCCUACUAAAUGUUUACCUUAAGUGCAGGUAAAUUCAAAAGAGUUGAAACAAUAAUGACACAAUCAAAAGGAUCACUCAAUAUGACAAAGAGCAGAAAAGUCCUUCUUAGAUUCUCCAUAGAGUGAAACAAAUGACAUUCGACCAAUUCCCAGAAAGGGGAUUGAUGAUAGGCGAAAUUACGCGCCUAUAUCAAUAUAUUUUGCCCAUAUUUUAGCCUAGUUUCGAGAACUAAUUAUCUAUUUCGUACACUUUUAGUCCUUUUUCCUGUAAAUGAGCUAACAAAUGUGAUUAGGAAAGUUUCAGGUAUAAAUGAUGCAAAAUACAGCAAUUUAUGGCUUACUUGACGCAAAAGAAAGCUCACAAACGAGAUGGAAAGGAGCUGGACGCAUAAAGGACUAAAUCUGCUGCAUGGAAAAUCUGUCCCGGGCUAAAACAGCAUUUCUGAAGACUUUGGGACUUACAGACACAAAGCUGGAUUUUUGCCAUAAUACAUUAACCUAGUGCAAUUAGGUUAUGUGUUUCAUCAUUCUAUUUGGAUUAUAAUUUUGUAACCUUACCCUAGUACAAUUGGGUCAAGGAUUUCAUUAGUAUAUUAGGAUUUGGUUAUUUAUUUUAUUAGUUUAGUAGGAGUAGGAUAGGAGUAUUAUAAAUACCCUAUCAUGUUAGAGAUUUUCAAGAAGGGAGACAUUCUGACAAUUCAUUCAUCUCCUUACAAUUAAGACAUCUUCCUACAACCCAUUCUCAAUUCUUCAUUCUUCUACUCUUAAAUUCCACAACAAGAGAAUCGUUACUUGCUACGGAAUCACUAAAACCACACGCCAAACACCUACUAUUCACGCCAUCCACCAUGCAAAACGUGAUAUCCUUCGCAUUCAUGGGUAACUAAAUCUCUUAGUUGGGGUUAUGGAAGCCGAAUGAGUUACUAUCUAUAGCUAUGAGUUUGUGAGUUCAAGACAAGUAUAUUGCUUAUAUCAUUAUUCUCUUCAUCUUAAAUCUACAUUCUUUGCGGUUCAAACACAAGAACACGCCAUUCUAACAUCUAACCUGUUCGAGAGAAAGGUUAUUUGUCUAGAAAAGAAGACGCAUAGACCAACGCCAGUCUAACAUCUGACUUGUUCGAGAGAAAAGUUAUUUGUCUGGAAAAGAGAUAAUGUCAAGGUAGUAGGACACCCUUUCCUAUUAAAAAGCUAGUGCCGUACCUGGACUAACUUCUUGGAGAAUUCGUACCGUUAGUCACGCUUUAAGCUCGAGAGAGUUAAAGUGAAAUAGUCCUUGUUUAGGUCGAGAGACGCUUGGAUUUACCAUCGACUACAAUUCUCUAUAAGCAAUUACAUGUCAAGACUCUACACACUCAUAGCCAAUAGAGACGUAUACCUCAGAAGGUGGACAUAACCCCAACGCCUCAAUUCUCAUUGUUUACAACACACGUGACAAUCUCUCUUUAUUUUGCUAUUUUCAGUUCUUACAUUCUUGUUUUGGUUACAUACUACAAUCCCCCCUUUCCUACGAGACUUGCACUAAAAGUCUAGUAAUUUCUCUUGCUUGUUGGCCAAGCUAUUCUCUGUGGGAUCGAUACCCAACCCAGGUUGGGUUCUAUAUUUGCUAACGACCGCUUUACACUCCCACGAGAGCUGUAGAUUGAGCGUUAUCAAAAAUUGGCGCCGUUGCCGGGGAAUACGAGUGUCAAUCAAGUUCGUGAAAAUUACUAGACCCUUUGGUCAAAGAUUCUCGUACUUUUACGUUUAGUUUUUGUUUUUGUUUAUUGCAGGUUUUUCUUUUAGUGCAUGCCCCAUACUAGAAGUUCUGGUCAACCGUUAUUACCAAUCAAUCCGGAACCACAACGAAUCAGAAGAAUGGAAGCACAAGCGGAAAUCGACAGGAUGGCUGCUCAACAUGAGCAAGCAAGAUUAGCUGCUCUUGCCGCUGCUCAAGUCCAACAACAAAACAUUGAUAAUCCUGGACGAGCAACAAAUCCUGACGAUGAAGAUUUAGGAGAUGACGAGUUGAUCAACCCAAGGCAUGGCGCUGAAAUGGCAACACCUACCAACAGACGAGGUCGACAAGCUCGGUACAGAUAUGAUCGCCAACCUUUGCAACCAGCUUUCGACGAUGAUGAUGAUGAUCUUGAUGGUGCCGGAGCCACUGGAGCUAUAAUUCCACCACCAUUAGCGCCCGGAGCCAAGUUCAACAUCACUAGCACCAUGAUUCAGUUAUUGCAACUCAAGGGAUUAUUUGGUGGACUAGCAGGCGAUGAUCCGAAUAUGCAUCUCAUCAACUUUAUUUCUACAUGCAAGUCUUUUGACAAUCCUGGAGUUGGUCAGAAUGCUAUUCGAUUACGUCUAUUUCCAUUGUCUCUGUCUGGGGAGGCAACAUUAUGGUUGAAUGGGCUGACUCCUGAUUCUAUUACAAAUUGGAGGCAAUUGAGAGACGCUUUCCUAGAAAGAUUCUUUCCGCCAUCCAAGAGGGCUCAAUUGAGAGAUGAAAUCAGCAACUUUCGUCAGCUUCCCUCUGAAGCUCUUCACGAAACAUGGGAGAGGUUCAAGACAAAGCUAGCGAGAUGCCCAAACCAUCACAUGACUAAUGUUCACCUCAUGGAGAUCUUAUAUAGAGCCUUGAAUUCAGUAACUAAACCAGUGGUGGACAACGCAGCUGGAGGUUCUUUUAUGGACCUCACCUUUGGUCAAGCAAGCAACAUGCUAGAUCGUAUGACGAAACAAAGUAGAGCUUGGCAUACCAGGGAUUCUGAGGUAGCAAGCCCCACUUUAUCUAUUGGCAUGUCUGCAGAUCAAAGAAGGAGAGAAGAAGAACGUGAUCAAGAUAUGGCGCACAUGAAAACCCAAAUGGAUCUUCUUACAAAGCAUCUAUUAGGGAAGACUGAAAAAGUGAAAUCUAUUGCGUCAAAAGGAAGAGACGAAUCUGAUUCAGAAGAGGAGGCCAACUACUUGAACAAUCAGGGGGGUUUCCGUGGGAAUGCCCAAGGAAACCAAGGUCGGAACUAUUAUGACAAAUCUGGAGGUAAAGACCAAGGUAGUUGGAAGAAAAAUAAUGAAAACAGUGGUUUGUACGUUCCCCCUGGUAGACGUGAUACCACCACAUCUAAUUCUAUGGAAGACAUGAUGGCUAAGUUAUUGAAAGGAGUGGAAGCGACGAAUGCGGGAGUUAAGGAGGUGAUUGACGAUUUGGCCUCCAUGAAGCAAUUAGUUGAUUCUCAUUCCACUUCUAUCAAGCAACUAGAGCAGCAAUUCAGUCAACUUUCAGCAACACUCAACCAAAGAAAAGCCGGCACCUUGCCUAGCGAUACGGUGCAAAAUCCAAGGACUGAUGGGUCAUGCAUGGCCAUCACUACGAGGAGUGGUAAGGUGCUGGAAACUUCAGCAGAAGGCAAGCAAAUAGUUGACAGAACAGCAGACACAACCGCCACACCUAGUGACGCCACUAGGGAAGACGCCGCAAUAUCCACUUCCAACGUCAAGGACGUGUUGCCUAGUGACGUGCAGCCUGAAAAAAGUAAUAAACGGAAGCAAGAGGAGAAGAAAGCCAUGGAAAGAACACUUCCAUACCCACCACCACCUUUUCCACAAAGACUGAAGAAGGCGGCCGAUGACACUAAGUUCAGCAAGUUCAUGACCAUCUUGAAGCAGCUGACUAUUAAUGUCCCAUUGGUAGAGGCACUUGAACAAAUGCCUGGGUAUGCGAAGUUUAUGAAAGAUCUUUUGACUAAGAAGAGGGCAGCAAGCUAUGAGCUGAAAGAAGAUGUGCAUCAUUGUAGUGCAAUAGCUACCCGAUCCAUAGUUCAGAAGAAGGCCGACCCCGGAGCUUUCACUAUUCCUUGCACCGUCGGAUCUUUGGACUUUGCUAAAGCAUUAUGUGACUUAGGAGCCAGCAUCAACUUGAUGCCAUUAUCAAUCUACAAGAAGUUGGGGUUGGGAGAUCCUACACCAACUAAUAUGAAGCUUGUUAUGGCGGAUAGGUCGGUAAAACGACCGGUUGGUAUUCUAUGCGAUGUCUUGGUGAAGGUAUCUUCAUUCAUAUUUCCAGCAGACUUUGUCAUCUUGGAUUGCGAAGCAGAUUCAGAGGUUCCCAUAAUCUUGGGACGCCCUUUCCUUGCUACGGGAAGUGUGCUCAUAGAUUUGAGAGCUAAUGAACUUUCAUUCCGAAUAAAUGAUGAAGUGGUGCGCUUUGAUGUUUGCAAAUCAAUGAAGCAACCCAAAGAUCUAAGUGUAUUUUCUGUGACUGAUGUUGUCGUUGAUGACGAGGAUGAGUUACUUGCUGAAGAACAAAUUCUUGAUGAUCCUUUGGAGGUUUUGCUCAUGGAAGAAGAUGAUGAUGAUGCUGAAAUUUCUGAAGAUGAUAUUUGUGCUCUAUCGGGAUUAGGAGCAUAUCGCUAUCCUCCUAAGAAGCUGGAUAUUGAUCUCAAGAAUCGACCCACACCACCAGCUAAGCCAUCUAUUGAAGAACCACCCACAUUAGAAUUAAAGGAGCUGCCAAGCCAUUUGAAGUAUGCAUUCUUAGGAAGCGGAAACACUCUUCCAGUCAUAGUGGCAGCCGAUUUAGGUGAGCAACAAGUUGCAGCUCUUAUUGCAAUUUUACGCAAGUAUAUUAGAGCUAUUGGAUGGACCAUUGCGGAUAUCCUUGGUAUUCCACCUGGAAUUUGCACUCAUAAAAUUCAGCUCCAAGAAAAGUGCACACCCACCAUCGAACACCAAAGACGUCUAAACCCACCAAUGCAAGAGGUGGUGAAGAAGGAGAUUAUCAAGUGGUUAGACGCAGGAGUUGUGUAUCCUAUUUCUGAUAGUACAUGGGUAAGCCCAGUACAAUGUGUUCCCAAGAAAGGAGGUAUGACGGUGGUUGCGAAUGCAAAGAAUGAGCUUAUUCCACUCAGGCCCGUCACUGGAUGGAGAGUAUGCAUGGACUACCGCAAGCUGAAUUCUUGGACUCUCAAGGAUCACUUCCCCAUGCCAUUUAUGGACCAAAUGCUAGAUCGAUUAGCGGGAAAAGGAUGGUUUUGCUUUCUUGAUGGUUAUUCAGGUUAUAAUCAGAUUUUUAUUGCACCAGAAGACCAAGAGAAGACAACGUUUACAUGCCCAUAUGGUACGUUUGCCUUCAAACGUAUGCCAUUCGGGUUAUGUAAUGCACCAGCCACCUUUCAGCGAUGUAUGAUGUCUAUUUUCUCUGAUAUGGUAGAAGACACUUUGGAGGUAUUUAUGGACGACUUUUCAGUUGUUGGGGAGUCUUUCGAAGCAUGUUUGGUGAAUUUAAGCAUGGCAUUACAAAGAUGUGUAGAGUUCAACCUUGUGCUGAAUUGGGAGAAGUGCCACUUCAUGGUAAAAGAAGGAAUUGUUCUUGGGCACAAGAUCUCCGAAAAAGGAAUAGAGGUUGAUCGCGCCAAAAUAGAGGUAAUUGAGAAGCUACCACCUCCAAUUUCGGUGAAGGGAGUUCGUAGUUUUCUUGGCCAUGCUGGGUUUUAUCGUAGAUUCAUCAAAGACUUCUCCAAAAUUUCUAGUCCAUUAUGCAAGCUAUUGGAGAAAGAUGCGAAGUUUGACUUUAAUGAUGAUUGCUUAAAGGCAUUUGAAUGCCUUAAAGAAAAACUCGUUGAAGCCCCUAUCAUGGUAACACCAGAUUGGACGCUCCCGUUCGAAGUCAUGUGUGAUGCUAGUGGUGUAGCCGUUGGUGCUGUUCUUGGACAGAGAAAGGAGAAAUUAUUUCAUCCUAUCUACUAUGCGAGUAAGGUCCUCAAUGAAGCCCAAAGGAACUACACCGUCACUGAACAAGAGCUAUUAGCGGUUGUGUAUGCGUUUGAGAAGUUCCGCGCCUACCUAUUAGGUACUAAAGUGAUCGUUCAUACAGACCAUGCAGCUCUUAGGUAUCUAAUGACAAAGAAGGAUGCAAAACCAAGGCUGAUUCGAUGGGUGUUGCUGCUGCAAGAGUUUGAUUUCGAAGUCAAAGAUAGAAGAGGUUGCGAGAACCAAGUGGCUGAUCACCUAUCUAGACUUGAGAAUGAGUAUGUGGCGCAAUCAGAAAAUCAGAUUGGCGAUGCAUUCCCUGACGAGGAGAUAUUAGCGACAACAAUAGAAGACUUACCAUGGUAUGCCGACUUUGCGAAUUUCGUGGUGAGUAAUGUGUUACCUACAAAUUUAUCUUACCACCAGAGGAGGAAGUUUAUGCAUGACGUUCAGCACUAUUAUUGGGAUGAGCCUUAUUUGUUUCGAAGAUGUGCGGAUGGUAUCAUUCGACGAUGUAUAUCCCAUGACGAAGUGCCCACUAUAUUAGAAGCAUGCCACACUUCGCAAGUUGGAGGACAUCAUGCGGGUAAUCGAACAGCAAGAAAAGUCUUGCAAAGUGGUUAUUAUUGGCCUACAAUAUUCAGAGAUGCACACGACUAUGUGAGAAGGUGUGACCAAUGCCAACGUCAAGGUGUUAUUUCAAAACACCAUGAAAUGCCCAUGUCCACAAUCCUGGAGGUAGAACUCUUUGAUGUAUGGGGUAUUGAUUUCAUGGGACCAUUCGUAAAUUCGUUUGGAAUGAAGUACAUCUUGGUUGCUGUGGAUUAUGUGUCGAAAUGGGUUGAAGCUGUAGCAUUGGCCGAUAAUGAAGGAAAGCGUGUUGUAGCGUUUUUAAAGAAGAAUAUCUUCUCUCGCUUUGGGGUACCUCGUACUAUCAUAAGUGAUGGAGGAUCUCACUUCUGCAACAAGCUAUUCAAAUCUGUAUUGGCCAAGUAUGGAGUCAAGCAACACAAGGUAGCUACGCCUUAUCAUCCCCAAACUAGUGGACAAGUAGAGGUUUCCAAUCGGGAGAUCAAGCAAAUCCUUGCCAAGACGGUCAAUGCGAAUCGGAAGGAUUGGUCUCGGAAGCUAGAUGAUGCACUAUGGGCGUAUAGGACUGCAUUCAAGACACCCAUUGGCAUGUCACCUUAUCAGCUAGUUUAUGGGAAGGCUUGUCAUCUACCCAUCGAGCUUGAAUACAAGGCAUUAUGGGCAUUGAAGCACUUGAAUCUGAAUUGGGAUGAUGUGAAGAACCUGAGGUUGGAGCAGCUGAACGAGCUAGAUGAAUUCCGUCUCCAUGCUUAUGAAAGAUCAGAUUUAUACAAGGAGCGGAUGAAGAAGUAUCACGAUCAGCGGAUUGUUCGACGACACUUCCAAAAAGGUGACAUGGUGCUACUCUUUAACUCCAGAUUCAAGCUCUUCCCAGGUAAGUUAAAAUCAAAGUGGUCUGGUCCAUUUAAAGUCACCCACGUCUACUCGUUUGGAGUAGUCGAAUUGGAAAAUAAUGAGGGUGUUAUCUUCAAGGUGAAUGGCCAACGUGUUAAGCCAUAUAUCGGUCCUCUUGACUCGAUAAAUGACAUGGCCAUCACUUAUCUCGACGAAGUCUAAGUACUCGAGAUUACUACGUCGAGCCACGACAAUAAAUAAGGCGCUAGAUGGGAGGCAACCCUUCGUUUUAUUGUUUUAUCGUUUUGUCGUUUUAGUAUUUUUUCUUUUUGAUAAAUGAAAAUCCAAAAAUAAGAGUCGUGCCACGACCAAAACUAAGGCGCUUGGUGGGAGGCAACCCAUCGUACUAAUCGUUUUCAUUUGUUUGAGCAAAUAUAGGUGUAAGAAGUAUGCAACGAGGAGAUUGAUUUCAAUUGACGAUUUGGUCGCGUCGUAUGGUAAAGGCGGUAAGUUAGGAAUGGUGAUGCAUAAGGCUAUGAAUUGAGCCUUUCUCACGUCAUAAUAGGCUUCGAGGAAGGCUAGGCCUUGGUAAAAAUAGGCCACGAACGAUGCACAACCUAUUCUAUAGCCUAAGGACUCGGAAUCUAGUGUGCUAUACCCUAUGCGCCGCCUAUUCCUAGGUGUGCUUUUGACUAUGCGCCGCCUAUGUCCCAUUAUGCCAUGGACAAUGCGCCGCAUAUACAUGUGAUAUGCCGAGGGAUAUGCGCCGCAUAUAGGGUGAUUUUGUCCCCAAAUCCGAUUGUAAAUGGGUCAUAACCCGACCCAUACUCCUCCUAUAUAAAGGGGACUUGUUUUUAUUUCACAAACACAUUAGAAUCAACCCUAAAGGCGCCGCAUAUCAUCCCAAAUCCUCUCAAAUUUUUCUUCCUUUGUUCUUCCAAUCCACAACAACUUCUCCACAAUCUUCAAGCAAGUAAGUGCUCUCUUAUUCUUCAUCUAUUUAUCAUGAGUACUACUUUACUAUGCUUAUUAUUAAAUGCUAAAUCACGUGAGAUUAGUGGUGAUGUUCAUGUGCUUGGAUAAUUGUUGCAAAAAUCGUAUGAUUGAAUGAAUACGAAUGCAAUUCUUGACUUGUUUCCGACUUGAAUUUUGUUUCAAUGGCAUUGUUAUGAUACUUGCUGAACAUAUAUGGCUAUGAAUAUUGCUUGAAAGUGUUGUUUGGAUGCUUGCAUGAUUCACCACCCCGGCCAUCGGGAUACGGUUAUAGUGACUAUCCACGUAGGAGGUAGUGUUGGUUGUUCGAAUAGCAAUUCCAUGUGGUAACUCCUAUGUUAUAGUAUCGCUAUAUGCACCAUGAAAGACGUCCAAAUGGCUGUUCAUAAGUGAUGUCAUGCUGAUUUUCUUGUCGGAAUACAAUCCGAGGACGUAUGUCGACGAAGUCUGAGUACUCGACCACUUUCACUUCACUGAUUUUUGCUAACAAGAUUAAGUGUGGGGUGGUACCCCUAAUGCUUGCAUAUAGAAUUGUCUAAAGUGCGAUUGUGCCGCAUCUAACAUUAUUUCUAGUCUCAGGUACAAUGGCACCGAAAGCAAGGCAAGGCAAGGAGAAGGCUACCACAACCCGCAAGGACAAAAAGAGAAGCCGAAAAGACCAAGGCGAAUCAUCUUCCGCACACCUACCACGCAGAAUGUUCGGAAUCAAAUGGGUUCUUGAGGAAGAAGCCAAGGCAUGGUACAGCAGCAACAAAGAAAAGAAAUAUGUGCACGUCGACUUAAUCAAUAAGGAGACCUUAGCAAAGAAGGAGCCGCAAAUGUUGGCUAAGAUUAUGGCUUUGAAGCUGGAUUUCAUCUUCCGUGACAUGGGAGAGUGCAAUCUUGACUUGACAAGAGAGUUUUAUGCCAACUGGUCGCCAAACACAACAGGCAACGAAGUCAAAAUUCGGGGCCAAGUGUUACAGCUUACAGCGGAUUGGAUCAACUCGUUUCUAGGCCUACCUUCGGUCGACACUGCACCAUACAAAGAGCUGUACAGCAGACCUCCUUACAGAGCUAUAAGACACACGCUUUGUGGAAGCAGAUCGAUGGCGAGAUGGGGCAGACAUAAGGAAACAGGCCGUCACAACACAUUCCCCUAUGCUCCACUAAAUAGGGAAGCAAGAAUCUGGAUGCGCAUUGUCAACUCAUGCCUCAUUCCUGGGACGCAAUACACAAAGAUAUCGAGAGAUAGAGUGUGCCUGGUUUAUUCAUUAAUGACGAAUGUCCCUAUCAACUUUGGGGCAAUCAUUCGAUCCACCAUGAGGAAAGCCAGACUCCACAGCAGGUCCUAUUUCACAUUCGGCAAUUUGUUGACAGCAAUGUUGCGGAAGGAGGAUAUAGAAGAGGAACCAGCUGACCACAAACUCCCACAUACCCCAAAGAAGGUUGACCUCACCAAGGUCAAAGAUGCUGAAACAACGCAUGGAGUCAACCUUACCACUGCGGAGAGACAUGCUCGUGACGAGAGUUUCUUCCGUCAUCUCUAUGGCAUGACGAGAUUCACUAUGAUGAGUGGUGGACGUAUUCCAACUGCUGAAGAGCUCCAACAGCUGGACCACGACUACCCAAUGAACAGACAUGCCCGGGAGAUGUGUGGAGUGGGAGUAUAUUUCGAGGAACCUCUUGAUGAUGACGUGCCAACUGAUGAUGAUAGACGCUUGCCUGAUUCUGAUGCUGAGGAGAACUCUGACGAUGACUCUUACGAUGACUCGAACGAAGGGGGUAUGACAUUGAGGAAGAGUCCGACUAAUCAGGUUCUUCGACUUUAUUUUCCACUGAGGGCAGUGUCUAGUCUAAGUGUGGGGUGUCGGCAGAAUCUGCAUGCUAUAUUUGUAUGUUUGCUUGUUUAUUUUGUUUUAUUUAUUUUGUUUUGAGUCCGAUUUUUUUUGUGAUUUUUUUCGUGUGACGUUUUUUUUUAGUUUUUAGUAGUUAAAAUUUUUCUAGCCUCGCAUGAAAUUAUUUUAAUAGGCAGCAUGAGAUUAUAACAAUAGUAUGUAUUACAAUUGUGACUAUUGAGACAUUUAGGCUCUAGUUGUGACUCAUUAUGUGAUAGUGUGUGAUUCAAUUCCUUCACUUGUUGGGUUGAGAGUCUAUAUUGCUACCAAUCAAGUCGACCAUGUGCCUUGUGUGUGUGAGAUAAUAGUAUAUUCUAUGUAUGUGGCUGAUGCUAGAACUUGCCUGGUAUGUAUGCAAAGCGAAAAUAAGGAGUGUAAGUUUAGGAUAUGAUUUAGGCAUUUCUUUGGCAACCUAUAUUUGUUUACCUUCAGUUUUACCUACCCAUGGACAUCAUCCUAGUUAAACCCUUUUGAGCCUUUAGCCUAUUUCUUUGACAACCUUGUAUGUAAGCCUAAUUCAUUUUUUUUCAAGACCGUAAUUUGAUCCAAAUUCCUAAGUGCUUUAAAGUAAAAAAGUCAUGUGACAACAUAAGAGGAAAUUGGUUGAGUAUGAUGCUUUAAAUUGUAAUGGUGCUUGAAUAUGUUAUGAAAAAGAAAGUGCUAUCAUAAGAGGUAUGUUGUGAGAAGAAAAAGGAAAAGAAAGCUGAAAAGUGAGUUGUGCUUUAAAAUUGAAAAACAAAAGAGGAGAACAAGGGUGCUACAAAAAAAGUGUCAAUAAUACAAUGUGAUGUAUUAAAGUGCUUAGGAACUUAGUCACUAUUUCUGGCCAAAAUAGUUGAUCCUACCCGUCCCUUAGCCUACAUUACAACCAUCAAAAGACCUACUUGAUCCUAACCUUAACAUUCCGACAUUUAGUGGAGUACUACAUUAAGGGCAAGCCUAUGGUCAUUAGCUGCUACAUAUGAAUUCUUUGUGAGAGUGAGCGCAAGGAUACUUUGCUGCCCAUGUUUGAAAAAUAUGCUAUACUUGUGAGUGAUUAUGGGUACUAUAUUGUGAGACACACAUGGUUGAUGAGUUUUGGAUAGUUGUAUAUGAUUCUAUGUACCUUAAACGUUUGCAUGCGAGUUGAUCACCAUCACGAGUCUAUGCUUGAGGUUAAAUUGUUUCUACUUAUAAUCGGAAAGCUACUCUUCGUUGAUAAUUGUUGUGCUUGUCUUGAAGAAUGUUUUGUGUUGUUUCUGUAAAAACCUUAAGUCAAUGCUUAGAAGGACAUGAUAUGUUGUUCGAGGACGAACAAAGCUCUAAGUGUGGGGUGUUGAUGAUAGGCGAAAUUACGCGCCUAUAUCAAUAUAUUUUGCCCAUAUUUUAGCCUAGUUUCGAGAACUAAUUAUCUAUUUCGUACACUUUUAGUCCUUUUUCCUGUAAAUGAGCUAACAAAUGUGAUUAGGAAAGUUUCAGGUAUAAAUGAUGCAAAAUACAGCAAUUUAUGGCUUACUUGACGCAAAAGAAAGCUCACAAACGAGAUGGAAAGGAGCUGGACGCAUAAAGGACUAAAUCUGCUGCAUGGAAAAUCUGUCCCGGGCUAAAACAGCAUUUCUGAAGACUUUGGGACUUACAGACACAAAGCUGGAUUUUUGCCAUAAUACAUUAACCUAGUGCAAUUAGGUUAUGUGUUUCAUCAUUCUAUUUGGAUUAUAAUUUUGUAACCUUACCCUAGUACAAUUGGGUCAAGGAUUUCAUUAGUAUAUUAGGAUUUGGUUAUUUAUUUUAUUAGUUUAGUAGGAGUAGGAUAGGAGUAUUAUAAAUACCCUAUCAUGUUAGAGAUUUUCAAGAAGGGAGACAUUCUGACAAUUCAUUCAUCUCCUUACAAUUAAGACAUCUUCCUACAACCCAUUCUCAAUUCUUCAUUCUUCUACUCUUAAAUUCCACAACAAGAGAAUCGUUACUUGCUACGGAAUCACUAAAACCACACGCCAAACACCUACUAUUCACGCCAUCCACCAUGCAAAACGUGAUAUCCUUCGCAUUCAUGGGUAACUAAAUCUCUUAGUUGGGGUUAUGGAAGCCGAAUGAGUUACUAUCUAUAGCUAUGAGUUUGUGAGUUCAAGACAAGUAUAUUGCUUAUAUCAUUAUUCUCUUCAUCUUAAAUCUACAUUCUUUGCGGUUCAAACACAAGAACACGCCAUUCUAACAUCUAACCUGUUCGAGAGAAAGGUUAUUUGUCUAGAAAAGAAGACGCAUAGACCAACGCCAGUCUAACAUCUGACUUGUUCGAGAGAAAAGUUAUUUGUCUGGAAAAGAGAUAAUGUCAAGGUAGUAGGACACCCUUUCCUAUUAAAAAGCUAGUGCCGUACCUGGACUAACUUCUUGGAGAAUUCGUACCGUUAGUCACGCUUUAAGCUCGAGAGAGUUAAAGUGAAAUAGUCCUUGUUUAGGUCGAGAGACGCUUGGAUUUACCAUCGACUACAAUUCUCUAUAAGCAAUUACAUGUCAAGACUCUACACACUCAUAGCCAAUAGAGACGUAUACCUCAGAAGGUGGACAUAACCCCAACGCCUCAAUUCUCAUUGUUUACAACACACGUGACAAUCUCUCUUUAUUUUGCUAUUUUCAGUUCUUACAUUCUUGUUUUGGUUACAUACUACAAUCCCCCCUCUCCUACGAGACUUGCACUAAAAGUCUAGUAAUUUUUCUUGCUUGUUGGCCAAGCUAUUCUCUGUGGGAUCGAUACCCAACCCAGGUUGGGUUCUAUAUUUGCUAACGACCGCUUUACACUCCCACGAGAGCUGUAGAUUGAGCGUUAUCAGGGAUCUCACCUAUUUGCUUAUAUUUGGUAGACUUGUUGUUUAAAUACUCCCCCAGAAGGAGAAGAUAUAUUAAUAGUAGACUAAGUCAUUUGAAGUAUGAUACAGAGUAUCCUUUUAUUUGGGCUUUAUGCUGACUAUGGUCGCCAACAAAAGCGGCACUGUGUCUUCUAACAUGCCGACAAACAGAUUUAGGUAAAAAUUUGCUUCAAACUUCCGAAAGGUCCAUUACUUACCAUUGCAUUCUAUUUCAUCCCAUUACAUUUCAUUGUAUACCAUUACCUACCAUUGCAUAUCACUAUAUUCCAUUGUAUACCAUUGCAUAUCGUUACAUUCUAUUACAUACCAUUAUAUUUCAUUACAUAUCAUUGCAUUUCGUGUGCAUACCAUUAAAUUUUAUUAAUUACCAUUAUAUUUUAUUUUAUGUUGAAAGGUUCAUGCCAAGAGUUCCAUUUAAUUCCAUUUUCAAGAGGGCCAUGCCGAGGGGCCAUUUCAUGCCAUGACAAGGGGACUGUUUUAUUCCACUGUCAAGAGGUCUAUUUCAUUCCAUUAUUGAGAAGGCUAUUUUAUUUCAGGCUGAGAGGGCUAUUAUACCAUUUAAAUAAGUUUUUGUAAUUUCUCACCAUACAUGACAAUAAGGUCUGGCUUUGGAAGUUGCUUUGGAGUACCUAUAUCAGUGUGAUCACGCAAAGAUACCAUAAUCUAGCAUAAAGUAUAUCUCAAUAUUUUAUAUCUUUUAACCACGCAAGAGGCAAUGUAUCCCGGGGUCGUAGAUAUUUCAGCAUUUUAAUCGGAUAGUAUGCAAGGUUAUCAAAACAACAUCCUAACCAGAUUGUAUGCAAAGUUACCCAAAGAUCGACAAUCAAAGGUUAUCCAUAAGUCACAACUAAAUCCUUACCGAAGAAUAUAUGAGAUUACCAAAUUGAUAGGUCCAAGGGUUCUCUAUAAGUUGUACCAUAUCCAAGAUUGAUUAUGCACGGGAUUACCCAAAGACUAAUAAUUUAAAAGAUAUCUAUAAGUCAUAUCUAAGGUCGGAUAUUAUGCAGGAAUACCUGAGGGAUAAAUAUUUGAGGGAUAUCGAUAAGUCAUCACUUAUCCAAGGUUGGAUAAUGUGCAGGAUUAUCCAAAAGUUAGCAAGUCAAAGGAUAUUUGUAAGCCGCCUCAUAUCCAAUAUCAAAUGAUGCACAAGAAUGCCCACAGACUGAUAGUUUGAGGGAUAACUAUAAGUUGUAUCGAUACAAAAGAUGCACAAGAAUUACAUGAGGUCACAUAUAAGAAGCGUUAUAAAUGACCAAAAGGGUUGCCACAUCAACAGAAUAUUAUACGGUUGCAGGGACCGUUCUACACAAAGUGUCAUUACUAUAUCCAAAAGGGUCACCCCACUUUGAAGAAAUAUUAAAUAAAAAAAAGAGAUACUUUAUUGAACAACCAAGAGGGUUGUUGUGUCUGUUAUUGAAACAAAUUAUUGCCCUCCAAAUAGGUACAUGAGAGGAAGAUUUCACUUUUUGAAUAACAACUCAUGCGGAGAUAUGGUAAAACACAAUAUACCCCCUUUGUGAAUUAUGUUUAUUACUAAUAAAUUUUAUUUGAGAUAUGAUCAAGAGCAUCCAAGAGGAUGAAAAUAUCAAACCAAAACCACAGGUGCAGACGACUUCAAAAAGGAUGAAGCACAAUGUGAAACUUUUCCUUAGCAGCAAUCUUAUCAGAAAUAUACUAAUCUCACAAGUCUUGGUAAAACAAUGUUGAAAAAUCUGAAUACUGAAUCCAAAGUCUAAAAUUGAAUCUAGUAGUCCGACGAUCCUCUACAGACUUAGUCUAGAGAGUCACUGGGACAGGCCCCAGCUGACUCAAACUGUCUGAAAUGAAUAAUGAAAUAUCUACUAAUAAACUGAAAAUAUGAAUAGCUAAGUCCCCGAACUAUGAGGACUCACCAACUGUAGGGAUGUAGGUGAGAUGCUCGAAAAUCACUCACGCUGCUGAGACUGAGCACCUGAACCUACAUUACGAGACAAUAUAACACAUAGACGUAUAUGUGGAUCAGUACUUUGAUGAUGUACUGAGUAUAUGGGGAUGAAUGCAAUAAGUAAGCAAUAUCAUCAGAAUUUAUAAAAUCAUGCAUGCUAAAUGUAAAUGACUCUCAUAGGCUUGAGUAAUCUGAAAUUUAAAGAUCAUAAAUCAUUAAUAGUAAAGCACAUCAUAUAAAUCUUGUGAGCCAUUACACUUAGUUCUGAAAUUUGUAUUCUGUUUUUAUUCUCAAAUCAUAUAGGCUAAGUGAAAUCUGAAAACUCAUUCUGUAUGAAAAAAUACUUUAUUUGAACGAAAUUCUUUCAAAGCUUUUCUUUACUAGUAGGGAGGUUCUUCUAACUGACAUAAACUAUAUGAGCAUUCAUGGAGUCUAAUGUUCUUGUCCCCCUAAGGAAGAAUCCUCUCAUUGGGGAAAUGAGUCAUAAUCUUGCCAGGGAGUAUAAUGUAUCUAAAUGAUCAUAUAUCUAUCAUCCACGUAGAAGUGGGAACAAUCUAAAUCCUACGUUGGCACAUAGUUUUGGGGUAUGAAAUCGUAGUAACGUACCCAUCUCGAUGCUAAAUACUACUCCCAUUAAAUUUGUAUGCUUAUUUUGAUGAAAAUUCACUUUUAGAAUACUCUAAUGGUUUAUAAUGGAAACCAACCGUAUAUCUAUAAAGCCAAAUCUUUAAUCUAAACCUGUAAAGUGGAUUCAUAUCUAUUCUGAGACCAAAAGGUCAAAUCUGUAUUAAUAAUCUGAAAAAAAUCUAGUCAUAGGGUGUUUAUAGCAUAACAAUUCUUGAAAUAACAAUCUUUAAUUAGGGCUUAAUGACCCAUGUAUCAAUCUCAUGUUAAAAUAUCAAAAUGUUCAUGCUUGAUAAUGUAAACAUUGAUAAUUCAAUUUAAAAUCUGGAAAUUUCUAAAAUAUGCAUGAAAAUAUGAACAUAAUCAUGUAGUUCAAUUUCUAAAUCAUUGGGAAUCUCAUAAGCUUGUAAAUAACAUUAAUGGGUAUAAACCCUAACUUCAAUUUCAUGGAAAAUCAUAUAAAAUUCAGUAAAUUUGUAAUUAAAAUAAGUUUUGGGCACAAAGAUGAAAGGAGUAUCCUUGUUCAUAACCCCACAUACCUCAAUUGAUGAACUAGAUGCUAAAACUUGAAUCUUGGAUCUCUAUUGAUGCUUUGAAGAUGAAUUCUUAGAGUUCUUGUAUUAGGAAUCCUUAAUUUUGAAUUUUCUUGGAUAAUUAAUGGAGGAAUUUGGAUUUCUUGAGGAGAAAGUUUGAUGAUCUAGGGUUUUCUUUAAGAGUAUUUUUGUGAAAAGUGAAUGUAAUAUGCUUAGGACGGGUUAAAUCAUCUGUUAUUCACGACUUAGGGCUUGGGAAAAGACCAAAGAGACCCUUUCAAAUUUUUACUCAGAACUGGAAAAAUUCUUGAAUUUGGCCAAUUGCGCGACGCGCUAUGAUCGCGGUGGCCUACUGGAAACUACCAACUGGGACCUGGAAAGACACCGCGAUACGAAUCCAUCGUGAUGCUCUACUAUAUUGCUAUUUCGACCAUCACCGCGAUGCACCACCAUCACAGCGAGCCACUGGAAAUGGAUAAAUGGGAAAAAGGGCUUCUCCGCGAUGCAGAAAAAUUACAGAGUUUCAUUGGAUCUUGACGAAUGGGAAAUUUGACCUCUCCGCGAUGCGCCAAUAUCACAGAGUCUCACUGGAAUUUGACAAUUAUCAUUCAAACCGUCUCCUCGAUGCGCUAAGGACCUAAAUCACGGUGUUUUAUGACUGAAGCUUAAAAUAGCCCUAACUUCUCACUCGGUCAUCGGAUUUAGGCGAAUCUUAUAUCGUUGGAAAGCUUAUUAAAUUUUCCACCAAAUAGGAGAUAUAAAUCUGGAAAAUUCCUUACGAAAUAAUUAUUCUUUAUUUUGGAAGCUAUCCAUUAACAUUCUAGGGAUGAAUUUUAACUAAAAAACGUACAGGGUAUUACAAUAUCUCUCCCUUGGGAACAUUCUUUCUCGAAUGUGGCUAGAUAAGCUGAGAAUACUGAGAAAUAUGAGUCUAUAAGAUAUUAUACACAACUGAAAUAAACUGAAUCUAAAUUAUUCUGAGCUUCUGAGUAAUUCUGUGAGUGCAUGAACUUACAUGAGGACAACUAUAUAGCUGAAUAUAUGAUUAGAAAAGAGCUAAAUUUAGGAAUAGUAUUACCUUUGGCUAAAUCUGAGUAUGCAGAGAAGAGAUGAGGGUACUUGGCUCGCAUAUCUGCUUCUGUUUCCCAAGUGGCACCCUCAACGGACUGAUUCAUCCAAAGAACUUUGACCAAAGGAACUUCUUUGUUCUUUAGUCUACGGAUCCGAUGAUCUAAAAUCUCAACUGAAAUUUCUUUGUAUGACAGGCCGUUCUGAAUAUCUGAGCUUUCUAAAGAAACUAAAAUAGUGGAGUCACCGAUACACUUCUUAAGCAUAGAAACGUGGAAUACAGGAUGAACGACUGACAAGUCUGCGGGCAAAUUAAGCUCAUAAGCUACUCUCCUAAAACAACUCAUAAUUUUUAAGGGCCAACAUACCGGGGACUAAGCUUCCAUAUUUUUCCAAAUCUCUUCACCCCUUUCAUGGGUGAAAUUUUCAAAUACACUAAAUCACCAACCUCAAACUUGAGGUCCCUUAUUCUCACGUAUGCUUAUGAUUUCUGAUGACUCUGGGCUAUUUUCAAUCUUUCUCUAAUCAACUUAACUUUCUCCAUAGCUUCAAACACUGUAUCGGGCCCAAGCAAAGCUACCUCACCCACUUCAAACCAACCUAUGGGCGAUCUACAUCUCCUCCCAUAAAAAGCCUCAAAUGGGGCCAUCUGAAUACUAUAAAGGUAACUGUUAUUAUAAACAAACUCAAUCAAUGAAAAAUGCUCAUCCCAAAUACCUUUGAAAUUAAUAGCACAUGCCUUCAACAUAUCUUCUAGAGUUUGGAUGGUCCUCUCUGCUUGACCAUCUGUGGGUGGAAAAUUAAACUAAGGUGGACUUGGGUGCCAAGACCCUUCUGAAAGGCUCUCCAAAACUGAGAGGUAAACUGAGUACCCCUGUCUGAAAUGAUGCACAAAGUCACUCCAUGCAAUCUGACUAACUCUCAGAUAUACAACUUAGCAUAAUCCUCAGCUGUAUAAGAUGUGUGAACUGGCAAGAAAUACGCUGACUUAGUUAAUCUGUCUAUAAUAACCCAAAUCGAAUCAUGAUGAUGAUGCCAAUGGGGUAAACCAGUCACAAAAUCCAUAUUUACCUCUUCCCACUUCCAAGUGGGAAUACCAAACUCUUGCAACGUACUACCAGUUCUUUGGUGCUCCACCUUAACUUGUUAACAAGUUGCUCCGCUAUGUUUCUCUUUAUACCACUCCACCAAUAGAUUUCCUUCAAGUCACGGUACAUCUUGGUAGCACCUGGAUGAAUAGAAUAACAUACGCUAUGCGUUUCAGCUAUAAUCCGUUGUCUCAACUCAUCAACACAUGGCACACAUAAUCUACUUUGGUAUCUCAACACGUUAUUUCUUCCUUGGAAGAAAACCUCCACUUUUUGGCCUUUAACCGACUCCUUCAGUUUGACCAAACUAGAAUCCAUAUUUUGCUUCUCCUUCACUUCCGAAACUGGGGAAGAUUCGAAACUACUCUGAACCCAAAUAUUUCCUUCAGCUGAGUCAACCAUCCUAACACCUAAUCUAGCCAAACGAUGAACUUCAAACGAUGAACUUCUUAUGCUAACUCUUUCUUAUUGUUCUCCACAUGAGCAACAUUACCCAUAGACAAUCUACUAAGGGUGUCAGCCACUACAUUGGCCUUGCUAGUAUGAUACAACACACUCAUAUCAUAAUUCUUCUACAAUUCUAACCAUCCCCCCUGACAAAGAUUUGAAUCCCUCUGGGUAAAUACAUACUACAAGCUUUUGUGGUUCGAGAACAUAUCAACAUGUACACCAUACAGAUAGUGUCUCCAGAUUUUCAAAGCAAACACCACAACAGCUAACUCGGGAUCAUGGGUUGGGUAAUUCUUUUUGUGAGGCUUCAACUGUCUAGAGGCAUAGGUUAUAACCUUACCUCUUUGCAUUAACACAUAACCCAAACCAACUCUAGAGGCAUCAUAAUACACCACAAAAUUAUUUGUACCAUCGGGUAAUGCUAGAGCUGGGACUAAAGUGAGUCGAGUCUUCAACUCCUGAAAACUCUUCUCGUAGAAAUUUGACCACAGGAACUUAACCUUCUUUUGGGUCAGUAUAGACAUAGGGGAUACAAUAGAUGAGAAACAUUCAACAAAAUAGUGGUAAUCACCAGCUAGACCCAAGAAACUUCUAAUGUUCGAUGGAGAAAUGAGUUUAGGCCAAUUUCUUACGACUUCUGUCUUUUAGGGAUUGACUAUAAUACCAUUGGCUGAAAUAAUAUGACCGAUAAAGACUACUAAUCUUAGCCAAAAUCCACAUUUGCUGAAUUUGGCAAAUAAUUGAUGAUCCCUAAGAGUUUGCAAGACAAUUCUAAGAUGGUCUACAUAGUCAUCCUUACUAUGAGAGUACACAAGGAUAUCAUUUAUGAAUACUAUGACAAAUAUGUCUAAAUAUUGUUUGAACACUCGAUUCAUGAGGUUCAUGAAAGAUGUUGGGGCAUUGGUUAGCCCAAGAGACAUGACUAGAAACUCAAAAUAACUAUAACGAGUUCUAAAGGCUGUCUUUGGAAUAUCACACUCCCUUACUUUAAGCUGGUGAUAGCCGCAUCUGAGGUCUAUCUUUGAGAAAUAACUUGCACCUUAGAGUUGAUCAAAUAAGUCAUCAAUUCUAGGAAGAGGAUAUUUACUCUUGACUGUGACCUUAUUUAGUCGACGAUAGUCAAUGCACAUUCGCAAAGAACUAUAUUUCUUUCACAUGAAUAGGAUGAGAGCGCCCCAUAGAGAAAUACUAGGCCCUAUGAAACCUUUAUCUGAAAGAUCUUUGAGUUGCUCUUUCAACUCCUUAAGCUCUGCAGGAGCCAUACGAUAAGGAGGGAUAGAAAUAGGCUGAGUAUCUGGGAGAAGGUCAAUACCGAAUUCUAUCUCUCUAUCGGGAGGCACCUCCAGGAGAUCUUCUAGAAAAACAUCAGGAAAAUCAUUAACUACACUGACUGACUGAAUUGUUGGAGUCUCAGAAUUUGUGUCUUUGACUUGAGCUAGGUGGUAAAUGCAACAUUUGGAUAUCAACUUUCUGGAUUUAAGGUAAGAUAUGAAAUGACUUUUGGGAGACACUGAAUUACCUGACCACUCAAAGAUUGGCUCAUCUGAGAACUGAAACUUUACCACACGGGUGCGACAAUCUAUAGAAGCAUAACAGGAAUGGAGCCAAUCCAUACCAAGGAUAAGAUUAAAAUCAACCAUAUCUAACUCUAUCAAGUCUGCUAACAUGACUUUAUGAAGGACAAUGAUAGGACACUUUUUAUAGAUUUGCUUAGAAAUAACUGACUCACCUACUGGAGUAGAAACCAAGAAGGGCUCAGGGAUCUUUUCAGAAUUUAUCUAAAAAUUUACUGCAACUAAUGGGGUCACAUAAAAAAAACUCAACCCAGGGUCUAGCAACACAUAAACAUCAAGAUGAAAGACACGAAGAAUGCCAGUAACAACAUCUAGUGAAUCCUCUUGCCCCUGAUGAGAUGGUAAAACAUAAAACCAAUUCUGGCACUGAAUGCCACCGGUACUGGAUGAAAUGCCUUGAGGAUGGGCUAGGCAACCUAGAGGAGCUGGUGCACUAUUAGCCUGAGUCUGGGGAUGAACAUCUUUGUUUCCCUGUCUAGCAUGCGGAUACUCUUUGAUUUUGUGACCCAUCUGGCUUCUGACCCCACAAACAUUGACCCGCAUAAUUUUUACCAAACUUAGCACAUGGGGGAUGAUUGGGCUUCCCACUCACACUAUUAUGAGAUCUGGACAUAAAAGACUUACCUUACUAUUUCUGCCUAUUUCUGGGUGCGGGAGCACUGGCUGAAGAAGGUGCGAGCAUAGAUGACCGAUUCUGAAACUGCGAGUGAUUUCCCCCCAGACCUAUUCUGACCAUAAUCAAACUGCCCUGUUCCAGCCUUCUUAUUUACUCUCUCUCUUUCCUUCAACUUUUUUACCUCAAUCUACUGAGCAUGCAUCAUCAACCUAGCAAGAUCUAUGUCUCCAAUAAGCAUAGCAGUCCUACACUUCUUAACUACCAACCCAGACACACUGGUCACAAACUUACUCAUGCUUGACCUAGGGUCAGCCAUUUGAUUAGGGGCAUACUUAGACAACUAGUUGAACUUGAGGCAAUACUCCUUCACUGUUAAUGAUCCUUGCCUCAGGUUCAUGAACUCUUAUAUCUUAGCUUCCCUCAUCUCAUAUGGGAAGAACUCAUCUAAAAAUGCAUCCUAAAAUAUCUGCCAAGUCAUGGGAGUUAAAUUCUCCCCUUUAUUUUUUUUCCACAUCACUACCCAAUCAUACGCAACAUCCUUCAGCCUAUAGUAUGCCAAUUCUACACUCUCCUCUUCAUAAAUAUGCAUAAUUUGAGAGAUCUUCUUCACCUCAUCUAGAUAAAAUAGAGGGUCCUCACCUGUCUUCGACCCAAAGAACUCUGGCGGGUUUAUUCUCAUAAAAUCUUAAAUUUUGGUUGCAGCUAAUCCCCAUCUUGCUGGGGUGGGACUGCAGCCUGAUGUGAACAUUAGCUGUCACAGCUUGGGCUAGCGCCUGAAAGGCAGCCCGAAACUCUACAUGUGACACAUUCUCAUUCAAAGGAUCUGCGGGCUGAGGUAGUUAGUUAUCGUUUCUACGUGCUCGAUGAGGAGGUAUUUUCUGUCACGUGAAAGCACGAGUUAUAAGAAGAUAGAGAUACUGAAUGCACGAUAGAUCAUGAAAGAAGAGAUAAUUUCCUAAAAUGUUCUAUAACCUCUUGCUCAUAGAUGUGGCAUGAUUCACACCGAUGAUCAAGACUCUAUGUAACGUGGCUUGUCUGACUCCCUAGGAAUAUCUAAACCUUAGGCUCUGAUACCAAGUUUGUAACACUCCGAAAUUUGAUUUUCGGGAUGCCAUACGGUGCUCCGAACUACAAGUAUUCCUGAUCUAACCCUGGCUGCUUUUCUACUAAAUUUGAAUCUCAACAUAAGGGAGAUAUGAAUAUGAAAACAUAAUAAAUGCAGAAAUCUUAUCUGAAACAUACUAAUCUCACAAGUCUUGGUAAAAUAAUGCUGAAAAAUCUGAAUACUGAAUCCAAAGUCUAAAACCGAAUCUAGUAGUCCGACAAGCCUGUACUGACUGAGUCUAGAGAGUCACUAGGACAGGCCCCAACUGACUUAAACUGUCUAAAAUAAAUAAUAAAUCAUUUACUAAUAAACUAGAAAUCUGAAUAGCUAAGUCCUCGAACUAUGAGGACUUACCAACUGUAGGGAUGUAGGUGAGAUGCUCGAAAAUCACUCACGCUGCUGAGACUAAGCACCUAAACCUACAUUACGAGACAAUGUAGCACAUAUGCGUAUAUGUGGAUCAAUACUUUGAUGAUGUACUGAGUAUAUAGGGAUAAAUGCAAUAAGUAAGCAAUAUCAUCACAAUUUAUAAAAUCAUGCAUGCUAAAUGUAAAUGACUCACAUAGGCUUGAGUAAUCUGAAAUUUGAAGAGCAUAAAUCAUGAAUAGUAAAACACAUAAUAUAAAUCUUGUGAGUCAUUACACUUAGUUCUGAAAUCUGUAUUCUAUUCUUAUUCUCAAAUCAUAUAGGCUAUGUGAAAUAUGAAAACUCAUUCUGCAUGGAAAAAUACUUUAUCCGAAGGGAAUUCUUUCAAAGCUUUUCUUUACUAGUAGGGAGGUUCUUCUAACUGACAUAAACCAUGUGAACAUUCAUGGAGUCCAACAUUCUUGUCCCCCUAACGAGGAAUCCUCACGUUAGAGAGAGGAGUCAUACUCUUGCCAGGGAGUAUAACCUAUCUAAGUGAUCACAUAUCUAUCAUCCACGUAGAAGUGGAAACAAUCUAAAUCCUAUGUUGGCACAUAGUUCUGGGGUAUGAAACCGUAGUAACGUACCCAUCUCGAUGCUAAAUACUACUCCCAUUAAAUCUGUAUGCUCAUUCUGAUGAAAAUCCACUUUUAGAAUAAUCUAAUAGUUUAUAAUGAAAAAGACCAUAUAUUUGUAAAGCUAAAUCUGUAAUUUGAAUCUGUAAAGUGGAUUUCAUAUCUAUUCUGAGACCAAAAGGUCAAAUCUUUAUCAAUAAUCUAAAAGGAAUCUAGUCAUAGGGUGCUUAUAGCACAAUAAUUCUUGAAAUAACAAUCUUUAAUUAGGGCUUAGUGACCCAUGUAUCAAUCUCAAGUUAAAACAUCAAAAUGUUCAUGCUUGAUAAUGUAAACAUUGAUAAUUCAAUUCAAAAUCUGGAAAUUUCUGCAAUAUGUAUGAAAAUAUGAACAUAAUCAUAGAAUUCAACUUCUAAAUCAUUGGGAAUCUCAUAAGCUUGUAAAUAAUAUCAAUGGGUGUAAAUCCUAACUUCAAUUUCAUGGGAAAUUAUAUAAUUCAGUAAAUUCGUAAGUAACUAAGUUUUAGGCACAAGGAUAAAGGAGUAUCCUUAUUCAUAAUUCCACAUACCUCAAUUGAUGAACUAGAUGCUAAAACUUGAAUAUUGGAUCUCUAUUGAUGCUUUGAAGAUAAAUUCUUAGAGUUCUUGUAUUGAGAAUCCUUAAUAUUGAAUUUCCUUGGAUAAUUAAUGGAGGAAUUUGGAUUUCUUAGGGAGAAAGUUUGAUGAUCUAGGGUUUUCUUUGAGUGUAUUUUGGUGAAAAGUGAAUGUAAUAUGCUUAGGAUGGGUUAAAUCAUCUGUUAUUCAUGACUUAGGGCUUGGGAAAAGACUAAAGAGACCUUUUUAAAUUUUUACUCGAAACUGGGAAAAUUCCCGAAUUUGGCCCAUGGCGCGACGCAACAUGAUCGCGGUGGCCUACUAGAAACUGCCAACUGGGACCUGGAAAGACACUGCGAUGCGGAGCCAUCAUGAUGCUCUGCUAGAUUGCCAUUUGGGCCAUCACCGUGAUGCGCCACCAUCAUGGUGAGCCAUUGGAAAUGGAAUAAACGGGAAAAAAGGUUUCUCCGCGAUGCGGAAAAAUCGCAGAGUUUCACUGGAUCUUGACGAAUGGGAAAUUUGACCUCUUCGUGAUGUGCCAAUAUCGCGGAGUCUAACUAGAAUUUGUCACUUGUCAUUCAAACCGUCUCCGCGACACGCUAAGGACCCAAAUCACGGUGUUUUACGACUGAAACUUAAAAUAGCCCUAACUUCUCACUUGGUCAUUGGAUUUAGGCGAAUCUUAUAUCAUUGAAAAACUUAUUAAAUUUUCCACACAAUGGGAGGUCUAAAUCUGGAAAAUUUCAUACAAAAUAAUUAUUCAUUAUUUUGGAAGCUAUCCCUUAACAUUCUAGGGAUGGAUUUUAACUAGAAAAGGUAUGGGGUAUUACAGAUUUCCUCCAUCAUCAAACCACACUCCUAUUAGAAGGAAUGUGGGUUCUUUGGGAUAUUUUGGUUUCAGUUUCACUUUCAGGAUAUUUCUAAACUCAUAUUGGAAGUAACCUUCUCUUUCCUUCAAAUUCGAGUGACAAUACACCGAGAGCUUUGAAAAUUAUAUCCGAGUAAAUUCUUAACUAUGAAUAUGAAGAGCUCCACAUUCUUGGUUAAGAGGAUACAUGCCUUUUUUUCAUAACUCAAUUGACUUGUCACUCAUCCUAAGCCAAAGAUCGUCUAAAAUAAGAGACUAUUUUUUCACUGAUCGAGUCUAACUGCAAGCAAUCUGAUUUAUUUAAUAUCAGGGAUAUAUAUGCUGGGAUCUUUGUUGAAAACUCGAUUGUAUUCCAACCUCCCCCCAAAUCCCAUCAAAAUUUAAAAACUCAGAUUGUGAAUUCUUUGAAAUCAUGCUUAAAAAUUAAGUUUUAUGAACUACAAAUAGCGUAAAUUCUCAUGCAACCUAAGAUAUGAAGGAAACCCAAUAUUAGGGUCCGGCCAUGAUUUCAUAAAGUUCAUGCAAAAACCAACCUCUUUCGAAAAAUGAAUUUGUGGUCAUACAAAAUUAGGAACAUCAAACUUCUUUUGCUCAGGGUUACUUGAGUUCACCUUGCCCAAAGGGAUGAGACAGUUAUUGACACCUAAUUUUUGCCCUCCUCGACUAGCAUUAGCCCUAAGCGUCUUCAAUUUCAAAUAAAAUUGAAAUAUUGUUUUUACCCGAAUAAAGAUUUUUAAAAUAUUUAUUUGAAUUAGUUUUAUCAUUUAAAUGAAGAUUAUACAUUUCUAUAUUUACAUAUACAAGAUCAUAUAAAUUUUGAUAAUUAAAUAAUUAAUUUUACCAUAAUUAGAUUUUUAUCAAGACUCGUCUCAAAAAUUAAUCCAGGCAGGUAAAUCUUGAUUUAAAUGUAUUUGUUCUUUAAAAAAUGAGUUAAUCAGAAAAUAUUUAUUGGAUUUUAUUAAAUCAAGAAACCCAAAAUUAAAUCGGUUGUUAAUUCGUAUUGGAUUGCGAUUCAAUUUGACCAAUUUAUUUAAUAUAACUAUAAUUGAAAUCAGUAUGGCCAUAAUUGCAAUGCAAUUUGCCUGUUAAGUUUUAAUUUGAUUAAAAAUUGAAUAAAAUUGACUAAAAUCUUAAUCAAUAGGUUAUUUAACAAAUAGCCUAAUCUACCCUUACCCCUUCAUUUAAUUACACCACCCAACCCACUCCAAACCACCCCAGACCCAAUAAUAUCUUUAGUUUAUGCUCCAACCCACUCCACCAGCAGCCCCAACUCGCCCUAAAACCUCAUAUUUCUCUUCUUAAGUAAACAAACAACAAUAUAUAACAAUAUCAGCUGUAACUUCAAUGAUAUCUACACAACAGCACGUUCAUCCCGUAGCUGCUCAAGCAACCCGUGAAUCAAAUUCCCAAAAAUGACACCACCAUUGUCACCAAAAUCAUACACCAUUGCAUGCCUAGAAUGAGAGAUUAUGUAUAGAAACUUUUGGAUUUCUACAAUACUGUUGAUUUUCUUAAAGUCCGAGGACCCAACUUCAAAUUUGUAGAAAUUCAUACAAUUUCGUACUAUUUCCAAUUUUUUUAUCCUUUAAGGAUUUGAGAAAUUUGCCCUCAUACCACAUUGAUAGAUUUUAAUUUCGCAAACCCUAAACCCCUCAAUAAUAUGCUACUAUCCCUAGUAUGAAGGGUUAGGGAGGUCUGAUAGCGGAAACCCCGAAAAAUUUGGGAUUUUGCUAUUGAAGAAGAAUGUUAGUGCUAAUGAUUCUCUAAGACUCAUCUUUGAGCUUGAAUUCCUAGGCUAAGAGAUUCAAGCGCUCUUUUUCGGCUGUGGUGUAAAGGAAUAAUCUGACGAAGAGCUCGUAAUUUUGGUUUGUUGCCCUCGAAAAGGUAAGCACAUCUUUCUCUUUUAAUUUAUUUGUUAUUUCUUCUUCUUCUUCAUGAUAGUAGUAAUUUUUAGUUAUAGUGGAAUUAUUUGCCGUAGAAGGCCUGCAAGACCAUAAAAUUUAGGUGCAAAUAAAAAUUUGUAAUAGUUUCACCUUAGUUGUUAGUUGCUUGAUUUCUGUGAUGCCCUUUUCUUCCUUUACUAUUCGAUUCAUGUUUAAGUGUGUCAAUUGGUGUGACAUUCAUCCUCUUACCUUGCUUUCUUUUUCACUUGAAAUAGUUGAUUGUAAAUAAAUUUUUAGGGUGUCAUUUUGAUUUAUAGAAAAUUUUCAUAGUUGCUCUUAGAAUGUUAGAACAAGUUUCCUUAAGUUUGAAAUGUCUUUCUCAUGGUUAAUAUUAUUAUCAAUCAAAUGUUGGAUUUUGCAGAAAUUAUAUUUUUGAAAUGUCCUGAUCUCUUUUUUAUCAUCAUAAGUUUGGUUUUGCCUAUUUGCUUUCAUAUUUGACUUUGUUGUUGCUUCUAUUGAGCUUGUUUUGAAAUACUGUUUUAAUAAUAAAGUUAGCUCACACCUAGCCUCACACUUUCUUUCUUUUCCAUUCCUACUUACCAGAAAGUAGUUAUACUCUUGUUUAUAUUUUGAUUAUGUCUACUGGUUUAGUUUGAGAUUGAAGAAAAUUUUGGAUUGCUGUUCUGGUGUUUUAUUGGCUAAGUAAUGAAAUGUUCUAGUUUUAAGAUGGGUAUUUCGACCAUGAAGCCUUUCAAUGAGCUUCUGAAGUGUUUACGCAUCACAUGUGUUUCCUCUGUCUAUUCCUAAUUUCAUACUUUGCAGUAAAUGUAUUUCUGAAAUUUAGUUGCAAGGACAUAUUAGAUAUGGUAAAUAUGUUACCACGUUUAAUGUGUCUACUUAAGAGAAUCUGAUUGUUUGAGUAUAUUCUCGUCCCUUUUCUCUCUCUCUCUCUCUCUUCAUAAUAAUCUCAAGAUAUUUGUGAAAUCCUUAACCGUAAGUAUGCAUAAGAUCAGAUAACUUUUCCUACCCGUUUUCAGUUGGUAUCAUUGUCUAAAUAAGUAUCUCGAUGGCCGACGUGUGAAACAAUUUUCUUUAUAUACGGUACAGUGUUCUCUUGCUGAAAUUUUAUGAUGUUUGCUUUGGUAUGGAUAUAAUGCUUUUGUUGCCUUUAAUAGCUUAAAUGAAUAUUCUUCUAAGGACAUAAGCUCUCAUCCCUUCUAUUCUAUUCAUUUUCCUUUUUUAUGAUUGAAUAGAAAUUUUCUUAAUAUGCGUAAUUCAAUUCAGUUUAUAGUCAAUUAUUUUUAUUUCUUGGAGUCUACUGUGAAGUUGUUUAAAAUGUGUAGUAAUGAUUCAUUAAAAGAAUGACUUGUUAACAGGGGUUAUAUCUUUCUUUGAAAGUUUUUAAACACGGACAUGCCUCAUGUCGCCCCUUUUUCAAUUAUUUGCUUUGGUGUUCAAUUGUGUUGAGUUAAUUUUAGUUGAAUUAUUUUGAACUUAUACUAAAUUCUUUUCCAUUUAUCUUUGAUUUUCACUUGAUUCGAAUGAAUCCCAAGGGGACUCCAAUUUCCCAUUACAUUUCGUUGCGCCAAAGCCUACCUAUCUUUGAGUCAUCUUCAACGCGAAUGGGCAAAUGUGCGAGACAGACGAAGGAAGAAGAAAGGGAGGCUAUUAUACAUAUUGAAGACCAUAGAUACAAGUGUAGGUGGCUAAGUAUACAAGCUUUAUGCAUCAGAUAUACGAGAAAACUAGAAAAAUAUACCACUGAUAUACAACCAACAUACAUAUAGAAAAAUGGACCCAAGACUAUGAGUCCAAAAACUGGGCAGGUUCAAUUGGGCCCAACAACCCACUUUAUUCAUUCACUUCAUUUGCAUUGACACUCUAAUGUUAAUCUAAAAUAAAUCCCCUCAAAGUUGCUAUUUUAUUUUACCCACGUACUUUUUUUUGGUUCAUCUUAUCAUUUCCCACAUAUUUUAGCUUCCUUGUUAAAGAAGAAUUAAAAAUGGGUCUUGUCGACUAUUUAUCUUAGACUAAGCAUUUUAAGUUCAUAAAAUGACUUUUGUUUUAUCAUUCAUGUGAACGACAAUUUAUUUAGGCUAAAGAGCUUCCCAAGGAAUUGUUACUUAUUUUUCCCUAAUUUUAAAAUUUUGUUUCUGUUUUCAAGUCUUUGAAAUAUUUUUAGUUUUUGUUGAUAUUCUCUUAAAAAAUCAAGUGGCGACUUUGUAUUUUCUUAAAUUAUUUUAAAAUUUUCUUUAACGUUUUUAAAUAGUUUAAAAAAGUCAAAAACUAAAUGUUUUCAAACCACCGAACCAAAGGUAUAAAACAAGGACAUCCAAAUGAGUGUUCACAAAACAACAAAAAUACGAUAAAAAGUUAUGAUUGACAAUUUGAUCAAUCUCUUGCUAGAGUCUAAUGUACAAGAUGGUGAUCUUAUACUCUUUGUAAAACAUAUUAUGAGAAUUAACAAGUCUAUUGAAUAAGUUGUUUGAGCUGAGGGUUUAUUAAGUAAGGAAAAUAAAUAUAUGGCUUUACGAUAUGCAUUGCUUAAUGACUUUCAAAAGAAAUUACUUUGUCAAAUCUUGGAAUAAGUUGGAUCACCAAAUGUCGUGAUGAUACAAGAUGUUAGUUCAAGCCUUUGUAGAUAAAUACAUUGACUUGAUAGUCUAGAAGACUGUGUGUUGUCCUUAUGGACUGUCUAUAAGAAAUAACUAUAGGACAAACUUAGUUAAAUCAAUAUUUUUUGGAGGAAAUUUUUUAUUGCCUAUAAACUUGUACAGAGAAAAUCUAUUCAUGUUUGAAAACUCUAAUUUAGGAAAGCGAGCUCUCGAGUACCAGAGCGGUCACGUCACAAGAAUCUAAUUAUAAAUCCCAAAGCUAACAAAAUGAGCUCAUCAUGGAGCAUGUAAGAGGAAAACAACCUCAAGACUAGAUUAAGAAAAGAAAUUUUUGUGGAGGACACUAUUGAGAUGCUACACAAAUUAUGGCCAAUAAUUCAUCAACAACAUAUAUUAAAGAGGAAUACGAGAUAAAAGGAAGGUCCCAACUAGAGCUUUUUACGAUAGUAGCUCCAAGAAACAGAAUGAAUAAAUUUUGAAAGGUACUCAACAACUAUGACGACAAAAUAAUUGGCCCAACCUCGAUCUUUGAGAUCAUCCAGGUUUCCCAGGAGAGGCCUCUUGAUCAACUGAAUAAUUGUAUUAUCCCUCCCCAACCAAUUGAUGGGAACAACGACGGAGUAGAUGAGUCAAGAAAAAUUUCUCGUCAAUUGAAGUGGCUAGUACACAAAGAUAAAUGACAAUUCUCCCUACCUUUAGGCCGAGUUAGCCUAGGGAUACCUUAAAAGUAUUAUAGAAUGAAGUAAUCACUUCAUCUACAGGGUUCACAAUACUCACGUUAAAUGGAUAGGUGCACAUGAUAGUACGAUCAUGCCUUAAUAGAGUAAUAUUUUUAGUUGAACAACUCAAAAUUCAUCGAAAGGCCACACAAAAUCUCUUUGAAUAAUAGAUAGGUUGCCCUUCUUCAUAAAGGAGCCCAAUCCAUUCACUGAUCUAUCUUUCCCUCUUAUUUAUUCACAAGAUAGAAAUUUGAAGUCUUCAUUAAACGAGCAGAGAUUGGGACUAAUUUCAUUGAUGGAUGACUCAAAAAAGUUGGACUAUCAGUUCCUAUCUUUUGCAUUCCCGCUAGGGGACAAGGAAUAAAAAGAAGGCUUCAAAGAGGAACCACACAUAAUGAAUUGGAGUAGGGUUUAUUGAAGAAAACUAGCCAAAUCUAUAUGUAGAAAAAGAUAUCUUACCCUAAAGAGUUGUAAUGACCUGAUUUCUGAAAACUUACUUUUAUGUGUUUUGACCAUUUUUUCCUUCUCUGUAGCUGCUACAUGUUAAUUUUGAAAUGUAGGUAUGGUUUACACGAUUUUUGAUGCGAUCAGAGCUGAUUUUGACAAGUUUGUGAUUUUUAGAGGCUUAGAAAAUCAUAUAGUUAAAUUCGGUCAAUAUUUUUUUAUUUUGAGUAUCGGAUAAUAAUUUAAACAAUUUCAUUAGGUUUGGAAUGUUAAAUUUGAGUUAGUAGCAUAGUUAGUUCGUGUUCAGAUCUUUUAUUUUGUAUUUCGAUCCUCCAUUUAAAAAAUAGUAAAAAGGGUUUCGGACAUCAAUUUGUUGAAAACAGUUAUUUUUCAAAAAAUAUGCCGCCACCAUUGAGUUUGGAAAAUUGAAAAAAGCCCAGUAUCUUAGUUUGUCUGCAUUCAUGAAAUUUCAAAUGAAUUUCGAGUGGUCAAUCGAUAACAUUGCAAGUUGGCAAAGUUGUUGGUGAAACCGACCUUUAAGCUUCGAGUUUGAGCGAUUCUUGAGGAUUUUUUCAUAAUUUGAACUUGGGUAAGCUCCAAAACCUUAUUUCAAUUAUUUUUAAUCGAUUAUAUCAUCAAAAACACCUUUAAAUCAUAAUUUCAAUAUGUAAAUUUGAAUUUUUUACUGGUAAAGUUUUAAAAAGAUUUUUCUUUAAUUUGGACCUCAUUUUUAAUCUGUUUUCAUGUGGGUUUUCUCCUGUAGACUCCUAUAAUCUUGGAAAAUGUGUUUCUAAAAUAAAAUUUUGGUUUUACUCGUUUUUAACUCGUUUUUCAUAUCCAUAUCUGACCUGACUUGAAUAUAGGUAAUAUGAGUAUCAUUGACUUUCUUUUAAAGUGUAGAUGCUAUAUUUGAAUGUUGUAGUUGAUUCUGAGGCCGCUCAUAAGGGAAUGGUCUAUGUUGAAGCACUUUAGACCAGAAUUUUAUUAUUUCGAGGUAGGUUAUGACUUAACUUCUUUUAGAUUGAGCUAGGUAGUUAAUAUGUACGUAAAAUAUGCUAUGGGUUGGGAAGAAUAACUGUUUUAUUUAUAUUUAGAGAGUAUUAUUAUUGGUGUGUGCCUGUGUGGAGGCUUAUACCCUAUUGUUGUUGACUCGUGAUAUCUGGUAUUGUGUGUUUCCUGUGUGGGGACUUUAUUUGACAUCAUUGACCUUAUUUGUGCAUUUAAAUGCCUUCAUUCUAGAUAAAAUGCUCGUGCGGGAGUGUGUUUUGCUAAUGUAAGUCUUAUUUGAGCAUUGAUUGCCUUUCAUGAUAUAAAUACCCGAGUUAGGGAUAGAUAUGAUAUACAUAAUGUCUUACGUGCAUAUUAUUCCGAUGGUGUCUAAUUAGAGUUGAUAAUCAUGAAUUAUGGGCAUGUUGAGUUGAUUUUUGGACUUUUAUAUAUAUAUAUAUAUAUAUAUAUAUAUUCAUGAGACACUAGUACCAUUGAGAAACACUAUUUUUGAAUGAAAAUGAGAGACUUUUAUGAAAAUUCUAUCCAUGAACAUGAGAUGGAGAGACGAGUUGAGAUUGAGAUAUGAGAUAUAGUAUAUGGAUUGCGAACCCCCUAUGGAUCCUACCUUGGAGCUACAAGCUCGAUAGGCAUAUACAGAAAUUCAUGCGAUAACUUUUAUCAUUCAUCGCAUCCCUAUUACAUUGCAUUACAUUUGCAUACAUAUCUUUCAUAAUUUUUGUAGUUUUCUUGACUUGUGUUUAGUUUCAGCAUAUUCUUUGUGUAUGUAUAUGUUAUUUUUGUUUAUAUAUUAUAACUGUUAGUGACAAUGGUGUGAGCUACUAUUUGGGAUUUUUUUAUUUACAGGUGACGUAUUCAUAGUGUUAUUUUACUUAUCUUAUUUUUUGUUUUGCUUAAUCGGCCUAUGAUACUUAAUGAGUACAAAUGGACCGUACUCACCCCUUCUAUAUCCUUUUGCUGUAGAUCCUAGUUUGAGUACUUCACGUGGCGGUUGAGUUUUCGAGCGGAGUUGAUCAAAUUUAAGGUACAAGAUCGUUCUAGUGUUCAGGGCAAAUUCUAGAUCUCAUUCUUUUUUACUUAUGUCUUUAUUUGGAUCAGAGAUAGAUUUUGUGUUUUUUAAUUUUGAAUUUGUACUUAGAUGCUCUUACAUUAUGACACCAUAUUUUGGGUGGUUUAUGUUACUUCUUCAGGCUUCUGUGUUAUUAUAUUUUGUGAUUGUCUUGACUUCGUUCUUGAAGUCUCGUCUUACUAUCUUCAUUUUUGUUGGAUUUUCUAUACUAUUUUGUGAUUGGCUUACUUAUCAAGGUUGAAUCAGAACCAGCGCCACUUUUGACCCCAUUUUUGGGUCGUGGACAAGAGUGCCUCAAGAAGAGUGAAACAACAAUAAGCAUCCAUGUGUCAAAGGAUGAUUCAAGAAAACAAGACGACAUUUUAUUCACAAAGGAAAGAAUAAAGAUGGGGUAUAUCGAGUAAUAAUCUUGUUUCUCCUUCUAUCUCCCCAGAACUACUAGGCGUAGCCUCUAAAAUGAUUAAGGAACUAUCCAUAUCAGGUAAAUACCAACUUGGGACACUUGACACUAUUGGGAGAGGUAGCUUAAGAGUUUAUCAUGGCAACAAAAGUGAAGACCAAAAGAGGUUUCUCUCAAGCUAAUAAAAAUGAGAGCAAGCACUCGUAAAGGAUAAGCAUUCAAUUAUCUGCUUCCUAUGAUGGCAUAGUGCAAGAGACGGACAUGAGACAAAUGUGUUAGACCAUUCAGAUGAAUGGAUAUGUUUACAUAGGGCUGUGCAUCAAGGGAAUAUUAGCUGGCUCACUAACAUAUUUGACACAUGGUGUGUCAGCAUAGGUCGUGGUUCUUCGAGCUCUAUUGUUGAAUUGUAUCAUAGCCUAAUAUUGUAGUCUAUAAAUAGUUGCCCUUCCUCACUUAUAAAGGGAUCUGCUCCCUUACUCUCUUACUGAAUACAAAAGUUCUUACUUGAUCUCUAAACAUUACUUUUGUUCUUGAUUAUUUCCUUUGUUUGUGUUAGGUUAGCUCCACUAACAUCCUGAAUCAUUCGGGUUAAUUCUCAAUCACAUUCACAUACUCAACAGGCUCGCCUAGAUUUGUGUGCUUUACUUUACUUGUUUGGUGUGUUUCAUACUUAGUCUCUUUCCAUUGUCACCUAGUAUCCAAACUACUAGUAAAUCAAGAUAAAACAAGGUUAAGUCGUAACACAUGUUCUUGACUCAUUUUGAAAUUUAACUGUAUCAAAUUUAUAGUAGAUAAAUUUAUGAUAAUUCUAACACUAAAUAUUAUCUGGCGGGUUUGUUCAAUGAUUAUAACUAUGUACGCAUCAUCUAUAUACGUCAUUUAGUUAAUUAGAUCAACUAAUCUUUAUCUUAUAAAAACCACUACUUACAUAUUGAUCUAACCAGAUCACUAAUGUCCUAAUUGGUAUUCCUACCACCAAGAAUAAUUUUAGAGUAAGUUAUAAAAGACAUGACUCUCUCCUUAUUAUGAUAUCCAUCAUGAUGUCAAAUCCAAAACUUAAUCAAAGACCUUAUAAUACUAAUUAAAUAAUUUUUUAAUAUAAUUAUGAAAAAUAUAUUAAAUGCUAUAUAUUUAUAAAAUACGUUCAAAUCAUCAGGUGUGAAAUCGCAUCUAAGACAUCACCAUAUCCCUGAGAGAAAUGUGAUGACUUAAUUAUUAAAUUUAGUCCUGUUCUAUGUUAUGAGACCAUGUGCUUUUUGAGAAAAGAAUAAGUUGUUACCAUUGUUUGUAUGUGCACACAUUAAGCGUUAUUGUGAGUUAACUUUUUCUUUUUGUUUUGGUUUAGGUACCUGUUUUGGAGUCCGAUUAAUUUAGAUUCACGCUGGGUAGGGCCUCAUUCGGAGGGUAGCGCUCCCUAUCAAGGAUUUUCCCAUACCCAGGGGUCGAACCCGAUUGUGAGGUAAGUUGAGUUGAAACAUCUAUGCCUUCUUUUUCAAAAUCUAAUAUUACUUUGUUUGGAGUCACUCGGAUACUAAAUACAUACAUAUUUAGGUUAUUUAUGUGUAGUAUUUUUUUAAAAAAAUAAUAUAUACACCUUAACUUAUUAUAUUCACACAAAUCUUCACCCUUACAAAAUAAUUACAAAGAUCCCAACUAAUUAUAUAUCUUCGUUGGAUGUAUCGGAGAACUAAUUAUGUAUCUUGAUAGAUUUAAAAUAGAAAAAAAAUGUAUCUAAAGCUAAUUAUGUAUCUUUACAAAGAAAAAAAUGUAUCUUCGUGGGAUGUAUCAGGAGCUAAUUAUGUAUCUUGACAGACUCAAAAUCGAGAUUUUCCAUAAUUAUGUAAAAUAUCAGAAUUUUCUGUAAUUAAAUUUCAAACUGUCGAGAUUUAUGCUGUUUGCCCUUUAUUUUUUCCUUUGGACUUGCGGUCACGAGCUUGUUGAGUUAUACCGAAUAGUAGUAGCGUCUUGUAUCGAACUUGGACCUAAUAACAUAAUUUUAAAAUUUGGACCUAAUAACAUAAUUUUAAAAUUUUAAUUCCGAAUAUUAAAUUCUUUGGACCUUUUUGACAAUGAAUAUUAUUUACUUUUUUCUUAGAAAAAUAAUUUCAUUUAUUUGAAAAAGAUAUUUGACUAUAAAAAUUUCAAGUACUACUUGAAGAUAUACUUGAAAUUUGGUAAACAACCGAAACCUUAUUGUCGCUUUGUAAUUUAGUUUAUUUUCAAAACAAUCCUAAAUUUUUGUUUUUUAUAAAAUAACCCAUUUAAAUUAUAUUUUACGUUCGAAUCAUAUUUUAUAUUUUUUAACAAAUACAUUUAAAUUUUAUAUAUUAACUGUAAAAACUAUGGUUAAACAAAACUCCAAUUUUAAAAAUUUCCAAUAAUUUUUUUUUUUUUAAACUUUCACCACCAAAUGCCUUUAAAUUUUUUGAUUUGAUUUUCAGUUUUUAGUAUUUUAAGCGUAGCCCUAAUAUUUCAUUUUUUGUUUAAAAUCCAGUACUGAUAAUUGGUUAAAUUCCAAAAACCCUUAUACCUGAUUUCUUUUCCUCCCAUCUCUACAAACCUUUUUUCUCGUCAAAUUUCACUACUAACAGUAAGCUUAGUAAGCUUUUCGCUCCCUUUUUUCUCUCUCUUUCUGAGAUUUUAGUUACCUUCUAAACUUCUCUUGCGUUUUUCAUAUGCUUCUUUACUUGUUAUUUUUUUUUUUUGUUUCUGCUUUAAUUGUCUUCAAAUGUUGGUGAUGGAAUUGUUCUAGCUGUUGUUGAUGAUAGUUGGAGUUUUUUGCAUCCUUUUCCUUAAAUUUAGUUAUCUAUUUUCUGCAAGUCAUUUUUAUGGUAUUAUGCUGAGUGAAUUGUUGUUUAAGUGAAAAAGACAGUAAAAAGAAACUACUAAAAAUUGAUGUCAGGCUACUUUCUAUUUUAAUUUCACAUUUAUAAUUAAAGGAAUUGAAUGAUGCAAGAAGAUACGAUGAGGGAUGACUGGGCGCAAAUCCAACUCAAAAUUGAUAGCAUGUAGAUGCAAUUUGGAUAAUUGAUGUAGAUUGAAAUAUAAAUUAUUUGGCAAGAGGGAUUGCUCACAUAGUAAGCCUUGAGUCACCAAGGGAUCAAAAAAAGUGGGAGCUUGGAGGGGUUAAGAAACAGAAUAUUUUGUAUUUGAAUUAAUUUAGAAGGGGAGUUUUGGAGUAACUAGUAAAGUUGUUGUCGUUUAUUCAAGCAGUGAAAACAACCUCUUGCAGAAAUGUAGGGUAAGGAUGCAUCCAAUAAAACCUUGUGGUUCGGUCCUUUCCUUGACUCCGUACACGUGGGAGCUUUAGUGCACCGGGUUGCCCUUUUUAGUGUUAACAGAUUUAAAGAUUUUUUAGUCAUUUUAACAGAAAAAAGUGCUUACUAGCACUUGUUUACCAAACACAUCAACAAUGUUUUUGUAGGAACUACUCAUAUAUAAAAUCAGUUCCAACAAUUGAAAAUUGCUUUUUAGCACUUGGUGAUUAAAAGCUACUUAAAUUUCAAUUAAUCCAAACAGGAUCUAAUUUUGUGUUCCUUAUUUACUUCUAUGUGAUGAAUGGUUUUGGAGGUUGUGGAGUACAUUAUGUUGUCUUGUUAUCUUUGCUUACUAGUAGUUGUAGUAUUGCUCCAGCAGUUCCUUGCCCUUCGAUUUCUUUAAUUAUUUCUUGUUGCUUGUACUUCGACUAUCAUAUUAUUUUGUUGUAGUUACUGUCCGGUUACUACCUACUUUUUUGUUGCUAUAUGCUAUUUUCCAUACGUUUGCUACCUUUUCCUGGACUGUUAUGGAUGAUUUUUUGUGUGCUGAUGGUCUAUCUAAAACAACCUCUCUACCUCAGAGGUAGAGGUAAGGUCUGCUUACACCCUACACUCCCCAAAUUUCUCUUGGUGGGAUUAUACUGGGUAUGUUGUUGUGAUGAUGAACGGCGUCGGAUUGAUUUACUUGUAAAUUCUGAAGGGAACAACGAGAUAAGCUCACCAAGGUUUGGUCAAAUAUGGACAUGAAGGAAGCAAAGAUGGAGUUUAAGUCCAUGUUGAAGGAGAUGGAAUUUGUAGGUGAGUAUUAGUUUUUUUUCUGGUCUUCUCUUGAUUAGGGGUUACUAUUUUUUAAAAUCCGACUUGACCAAAACGUAAGUUCAUGUAGUUUCUAUUCUGUAGAGCAUGUUUCAUGUUAUUCGGGUUUGGGGUUUUGGAUAAAGAAAAAAUAAAGAACCCUUUGUCUAAGGAGUAAGGCUGUUCAAAAUUUAUGUGAUUAAUUUUGAGUCAAUGAUAUGUUCGGUAAGUUAUUUUGUUCAUGAACCAAUUAGGACUUUGUUCUUAUGACAAUGCAAUAAUCUAGCAUUAUGAUUCAGUUAUCAUUCAAAGCAAUUUAACCAAUAUCUUAUUAUUGCCCGAAUGUGGGGAAACAUUGUAUUUGUGAUUCAUAUGUAUAUUUAAGAAUUUGAAACCACAGUGAUAGUGUAGUUGGUGGAGAUUUUAAUGUUAUCAAAUUCGGAGAAAAAAUAGAGGGAAUGCAAGAAACACUAGAGCUAUGAGGGAUUUUUCUAGAAACACUAGAGCUAUGAGGGAAUCCACCUGGUACGGAGGUUGGUGGAACAGUAUAGGGAAAGGAAGAAGGAUCUGCACAUGGUGUUUAUCGACCUGGAGAAGGCUUACGACAAAGUCCCCAGGGAGGUGCUUUGGAGAUGCUUGGAGGUGAGUGGAGUACCGCUGACAUAUAUCAGAGCAAUUAAGGAUAUGUAUGAUGGGGCGAAAACCCAGGUGAGGACGGCGGGAGGAGUCAGCAUUUCACUGUCCUGACAGGAUUGCAUCAGGGAUCUACUCUUAGUCCCUUUUUGUUUGCGUUGGUGAUGGAUGUGUUGACGCGGCGUAUUCAAGGGGAGGUGCCGUGGUGUAUGCUUUUUGCAGACGAUGUAGUUCUGAUAGAUGAAACUCGAGGGGGUGUGAAUGACAAAUUAGAGGUGUGGAGGCAAACUCUUGAGUCUAAAGGGUUCAGGGUGAGCAGAAGCAAGACAGAGUAUGUGGAAUGCAAGUUUAAGGACGUGAGGCGGGAGAAUGAGGUAGUAGUGAAGCUGGAAGCACAGGAGGAAUGUAAGAGGGAUAAGUUCAAGUAUCUUGGGUCCGUGAUCCAGAGUAACGGUGAGAUUGACGAGGAUGUCUCACACCGUAUUGGGGCGGGAUGGAUGAAGUGGAAACUCGCAUCGGGGGUGCUGUGUGAUAAGAAGGUGCCGCCCAAGCUUAAAGGCAAAUUCUACAGGGUGGUAGUCCGUCCGGCCUUGUUGUAUGGAGCGGAGUGUUGGCCAGUUAAGAACUCCCACAUCCAAAAAAUGAAGGUGGCAGAAAUGCGGAUGUUGCGCUGGAUGUGUGGACUGACUAGAGGGGAUAGAGUUCGGAAUGAGACUAUCCGGGAGAAGGUUGGUGUGACUUCAGUGGAGUGCAAGAUGCGGGAAGCACGAUUGAGAUGGUUCGGACACGUGAAGAGGAGGGGCAUGGAUGCCCCGGUCCGUAGGUGUGAGAGGCUAGCGUUGGAUGGUUUUAGACGGGGUAGAGGUAGACCGAAGAAGUACUGGGGUGAGGUGAUUAGGCGGGACAUGGAACAGUUACAGCUCACCGAGGACAUGACCCUAGAUAGGAAGGUCUGGAGGACGCGAAUUAGAGCAGAGGACUAGGGCCAGGUUGGGUCGCUAGUGUAGGGAAUUACUUGGUGGGGGUUUUAUUCCUGUUAUGAUUCCGUGUUCCAUGUUUUAUUACGAAUCUGUGUGCUUCCUCUGCUUUCCUCUGUUUUAUAUUACUUAUGGGUGCCAUAUUUAUGUUAUGUAAUCUGCUUCUGUGCUUUACUAUGUGUUUGUGUGGUAUCUCGUGCCUUGAGCCGGGGGUCUAUCGGAAACAGCCUUUCUACUUCUUUAGAGGUAGAGGUAUGGACUGCGUACAUCUUACCCCCAGACCCCACUAGGUGGGAAUACACUGGGUUUGUUGUUGUUGUUGUUGCAUUGAUGGUCUAUCAUUGCUGGAUCCACCUCUUCAUGAUGGUUCCUAUACAUGGUUUUAGAGGAGAGAACAAUCUAAGUGCUUCCAGGAUAGAUAAAUUUCUAUUUUCAGAAACAUGGGUGAGCUCUUCAAUAUGAUAAAAACAAAGGGUGCUGCCUAGGACGACUUCAAACCAUUGUCCUAUCUUAUUAGAAUGUGGUGAUUGGAGUAAUGGGCAGGGUAACUUAAAGCUUGAGGAUAUGUGGCUGGAACACAGGGACUUCAAUGAACUGGUGGAUAAAUUGUGGAGCUCCUCAUAAGAUGUACAAAGUAGAGCUGAUGAGAUCCUAGCCUAAAAACUGAAGCCACUGGAAGAAGAUUAAAAAAAUGGAACAGGGAGGUCUUUGGUAGCCUUGCUGAUAGGAAGACAAGCAUUGUCAAAACUGGAUGUUUUGGAUCAGGAAAGACAAUUAUUUCCUGAUGAGAAUGAGGAUGAAUGGGGUGCUAUCAGGAAGGAAUUAGAAGAUAUUGCUAAAGCCGAAGAAAUUUCUUGGAGACAGAAACAAAGAAGUUUAUGGAUUGAACAAGGAGAUAGAAAUGCAAAAUUCUUCAAUAGACGGGCAAAUGCACAUAAAAGAUAUAAUUGUAUUGAUAAAAUUGUUAUUGAAGGAGAUUUAACAGUGAAUGGAAAGUUGAUUAAAGAUCACAUUUUGGAAUUCUAAAAUAGUUUGUUUCAAGAAGCUGAAUUAUGGAGAUCAAAUGGCUUGGAGAAGAUUUGAGUAAGUUAAACGAGGAAGACAAAUAGCCCCUGUGGCCAAGCUUAUUUCCCCCCAAAAGUGCUUAUUUUAAAAAAUUGAGGUAUUUGGCCAAGCUUUUGGGAGAAAAUAAGUGCUUCUAGGGAGUAGCAGAAGCAGUUUUUCAUAAGCUAAAAAAAGUAGGUUCUCCCCCAAAACACUUUUUUAAAGCACUUUUGAGAAAAGUACACUUAAAAGCACUUUUAAAGCUUUGCCAAACACUAACUGCUGCUCAAAAGUGUUUUUUAAGUUUGUUGGCCAAACAGAAAUUGCUUCUCACCGAAAGUACCUUUUCUAAAGCACUUUUGAAAAAAAUACUUCUCAAAUAAGCUGAUUUUAUAAGCUUGGUCUAACAGGCUAAAAGAGUGGAUGCAAAGGCCCGUUACACUAGAACUGGAAAAGACAAUAUAACUUUUCAAGGGUGACAAGGCAUCAGGUCCAGAUGGAUUCAACCUCCAUUUCUUUCAGAGCUGCUGGAGUAUAGUCAGAUCUGAUGUGUGGAAUAGUGUAAAUCAUAUUUUUGAAGAGGGAUCUUUACAAAAAGUUUCAAGGUGACUUUCAUUGAAAUGGGUGAGGAGUCAUUUUUGUAAAAAUAUUUAGUGAGGAAUAAAAGACAAGGGGUGAUUUGCAAACUGGAUUUUUUCUUUUUGAGAAAGUUAACAGCUUUAUAGACAACAGAUACACCAAUAGUGUAUUUCAUCAAUAUUUACACAAAAGACGUCUAGCACCUACUCCCUCAUAAGCUAUCUAAAAUAUGAGUAAUUCCCUCCAUCUCAUUUGGCAGGGUAUGUAUACACCAAAAAUAAAAGGUCACUAAGCAGUUCAUUUUCAAACUCUGGAAAGGGAUGUUCUUAUUUUCAAAACGUCUUUUAUUCCUUUAUUUCCACAUUGUCCACCAGAUGCAAGCAGGGACAGUCUUCCAUCUCUCCUUGUGUCCUGACAUGUUCGCAUCUCUGUUCCAACAUGAUAGCAUAUCUGAGGUAUCUCUUGGCAUUGCCAUGUGAUACCCCUAAGGUCGAAGAAAAUCUGCCAUAGUUGAGCUGUCUCCUUGCAAUGUAGGAAGAGAUGAUUUGUUGUCUCUGUUUCAGUUUCACAAGAAAAAAAAAACAUCUGGAACAUAACUGCCUCCCCCUUUUCAUGAGAUUGUCCGGUGUUAGGACUGCUUGCUUGGCCCACUAGCCAGGUAAAGCAAGCCCCUUUUCAUGAUUUGCAAACUGGAAUUGGAUCAUGUUAACUGGGAAUGUUUUUUUGGAUAUCAUGAACAAAUGAAUUUUGGUCAAAAAUGGGUGUACUGGAUUGAAUAUUGUAUAUCCACAGUGAGAUUCUCAGUUCUAUUAAUGGAAGUCCUCAAAGUUUUUUCGAAUCUUUUGGAAGAUUAUGGCUGGGGGAUCCUUUAUCUCCAUAUCUAUUUGUUUUGCCUAUGGAGAUAAUUGAAUGCUAAAAAGGGUGGGAAUUUGGGUUGGAUAAGGGGAUUAUAGGUUGGAAGAAGAGCUGGUGUUAAGUGUGAUAUAUCUCACGUUCUAUAUGCGGACGAUACUCUGAUAAUCUGUGAAGCAGAUGAAAGAACUAUUUCUGUACCUUAAGAGGGAUUCUGCUAACUGUUGAGGCUGUGACUGGUCUUAGGGUGAUUCUGGCAAAAAGCAGCUUGUUUAGCAUUAAUGUUUACAAUUGUGUUGACGAGCUAGCUGAGGUAUUGGGAUGCAAGGUUGAACAACUACCUACUACUUAUUUGGGUCUUCCUUUUGGUGCUAAAAAGAAUGAAAAAAGGAUCUCAUAAGGGUCCAUAAAUAAAUGCAUCAAUAAAUUGACCCCAUGGAAAAACAGUAUUUAUCUUUUGGUGGCAGACUUAACUUGAUAAGCAGUUUGUUGGAUGGAGUUCCAACAUAUAUAACGUUCCUUUUAAGCUGUCUGUGAAAGAAAACACUGCACAUCAUAAGGAGUAAUUUCUUGUGGGAAGCAAAUGCAGAUAAAAGGAAGCUAGACUUGGUCAAUUGACAAAAAGUGAUGAUUAACAUGAAAGCAGAUGGAAUGAGGGUUAGAAAUCUGAGGUUGCAUAAUAAUAGUUUCUUGUGAAGGAGCUUAAUACAAACAUAACAGCAAUAUCCUUAAAUAUGGACAUGAAGGAGUUUAAUAACAAACAUCUCAAAUUCCAGCGUUAGGACUGUAGUUGAUGCUUGUUGAUUAAAUGCCUUUACUUGCUGUAACCCUUCUUUUAAAAGAAGAGAAAUGCUUUUACUUAAUCUCGUCCAGACAUAUGAAGGAAACUUUACAUUCCUUUGCCUGAGAUAACGGUUACUACUUUAUUAUGAAUAGAGUGCCAUCCAGUUGACGUAGAGGUAGUGCUGAAGCUACAUUUUCCUUAUCUCAAAUCAUGUUAAUUUGGAAGUGGAAUCUUGAAGGCACGACAAAAGUAUACAAGAAAAGGACAAUGGUGCCACCCAGUUGGGGAGUUAUAAACUACACACCAACAAUCGAUAUAUUGAAUCAAUCAUUAGAAAGCAAUGCUGUGGUAGAAUUGGACGGAGUGAUAGACAAUGGUGCUACCUAGUUAGUUGUUCCUUUUCUUCCAUAGGCUUCAACUCCAUAACACGGUGAUAGAAUUGGACAGUGCAAUAUAAAUAAUCAUUGUUACUGUAGAAAGCAACGAUGUGGUUCUAGAUUUGUGACUAUUAAUAAAACAGAUUCACUGGCUGUGUAUCACCUCUUUGUUACAAGCCAUGAUCUUUUCCUCAUCAUAGACAUAGACAACUAUUCGAGUAUUUAAAAUACCAAACCAUUCAUUGAACAUCAUUGGCUUAGUCAUCAGGUUGAUCACACAAUGAAAGUAAUGCAUAAUAAGCAUCUCAGACAUAGCAACUAAAUAUAAAGUUUAUACUUCAAAGACAAAGCAACUGAAGUUGUACGCAUUUUCGUUGUGCACAUAUCGGGGAAGAAUGAUAUCCACAAUCUUGAGAAAAGGUAGCCCAUGCAACUUAUUUGGAAAAAGGUUCCAAUGAACCAAUAGUAUUGAAGUUGGUAAACUUCCAUUUUGUGUCAGUCUUCCUUGGUUUAUAUCAUCCCGAAGGCAUUCAAACACACAUCCAUCAAAAUUCCUUUCCACUGCCAAAACAUUUCUUCUUCUUGUGAUUUUGGUAGCUUCCCUGCCCAAGUUUCUGUCUUAGCCACCUUACCCUAAUAACUUCAACAGGUUCAUCGCAUUUAGAUUUCCAGUUGAACUGUACUGGACAAGUCUUGUAGAACAUAGAAGUUUUUCCUAGCAAAGAGCUUCUUAGCAUGACCAACUCGAAACUCGACUAUUUGAUUUUUUUUUCCAAUUAUCUGUUUGAUUUUUAUAUAGUGCUAGCAGGAUUUUAACACAGUGCUGAUGGGAUGAGCUUAUGUAAAAUAUGGGUACUUUGUAAUUUAUUUGAUAGUCUAAGAAGGAUGAUAAUCGAGCUCCCACGGCUUUCACUUCUUUACAUACCGGACCCUCUUCAUGUAUAGCGUGGUGUUAAUAUAUACGCAAUGUUGAUGUUAGUUCUGAUGCUGUCUUAUGAAAACAGAUUUAGUGCUUGAUCAUUUUCUUGGAUAGAUUAGCACUGACCAGGUUCUCUGUCCUAUUUUCAGGCUCUGCGCACAUAACAUGGAAGGAAAAAGGAGUUGGAGAACAUGAAAGUAGUUGCACUUGGUGGGAAUGUGAGGAAUGAACUUUAUGAAUAAUACAUUUGCAGUGUUAGUAUUUUCUGCAAUUUUUUGAUGAAUACUGUAAUAUUUUCUGCAUCUGUUACUAAUGUUCCUAUUAAUUGUGGCAGCCUCAGAAGAAACAGAGAUUACCAUUAAGUGUAGCACGAGUAAUGAUGAAGAAACAGAAGGAAGUGGGAGAAAAUGCAAGAAGAGGUUCAAAAAUAAGCUGUCUUUGGAGUUGUUUAUUGAAAUUUCCCCUUAAAAUAAAUUGCUAACUUAUUUGUCUUGUAGAAUUUGGUACUUGGACGAUUCGGGGGAAGUAGUUCAAGAAAAGCAUCAGGAAGGCGCAGAUCUGAGGACAGGGUGCUGAAAUCAACUGAAGGUCACUUCAGAAAUGGGGUGCUUGAUGUUAAAGAGUUAUUAAAACCUUCUGCACAUAAAGCAUCAUUUGAUACGAAGCAGUCUUUUUCUUUUGGUGAAGGGAAGAAGAAGAGUAAGGGUGGUAAUAAAAAGAACAAGGGCAAGAAGAAUAAGGGUGGUGGUUGUGGCAGGAAGCCCCAUUAAACAUGGGGAUAAGUUGAAAAAAUUUCUUCUUUAUUGAGUUUCCAUGCUUUAAAAAUCCUAGUGGAUUCUGGUUUCUGCUAAAUUUUAUGGGUGCUAAACUGACUGAGUUUAGUUUCUAAUUUUGGAAGUAUGUAGUACUGUUUUUUUUGUUCAAAGAGAAAAUGGAAUAGAUCUUCCAUAUGUAUUAGUACUGACUACUAGAAUACGAUCCCAUUGACGUGAUUUUUGUUGCUAUACUGUUGACACUUGGCAGCAAAAGCUUGCAAAACAUUUUGUAUAAGUUUUCAUUGCCUUCUCAAAAUUUUUACUUAGAUGUGCUAAAUGUUUGUUUGUUUUUGAAUAUCAAUGAUCUCAAUUUAUGUUGGGCUCAUCCCGAAAUGCAAGUAUAUAUCAGGCUUGAUGUUGAUCCCAUUGUGCAUCAAUGGCUCAAUAUCAGCUGAAGUGUAUCAUAGAUAGGGACUCUUGAUACGGCUUCUGCCUUGAAAGUGCAUACCUUUUAGAAAAAUUUAAGGAGGUCAAGUCUCUGCUUGGUGAAGUUACAGAUGACUUAUUGGUUUGUGGAGUUAAUGGGCUUGGGUAUAUCAUCCAUGCAGAUCUGUACUUGAUGGACUUGGUUAUGUCAUCUAUGCAGGUCUGUACUUGAUGAACUUGGGUAUGUCAUCCAUGCCGGUCUGUAAUAGAAUCACAUCUUAGCGACUAUAACUUAAAAGUUGUUUACUCAAUAAAUGUGGUCCUUAAACUGACCGAGCCAAUUCUGACCUAGUCGAUCCGUCAGUUUUGCAUUGGUUUUAUGCAAAAAAUAGAGGUCAGCCGUCAGUUUUCGACCUUUUUAGUGUCGAUGCUCUAGCCGCUAGAUUUGACAGGCUUAAUCGAACUAGUUCAGCUCGGCUUGAUAUUGUAAAGGCUUGAUCAAGUUUGACUCGACUUGAUGCCCAGGCCUAUCAAUAGCCCUUGCUUUUCGCACCCAUAGCGUCUUGUGCUGUACAUAUGCACAAGAAUUCUUUUUAUAUUUUACAGAAAAAGGCCUAAAAAUGCCCUUCAACUAUGUGAAAUGGUGCAUAAAUGCUCUCCGUCUACCUAUUGGGCCUAAAAUGCCCUCCGCGUCUACCUAUUGAGGCUAUUUUAAUUAAUAAUUAGUUGGCCAAUAAUUAAAAUAACUAAUUUCUCCCUAAAAUCCCAACCCACCCUGUGAAAAAUAUCUAAAGUGAAUCUUUGGAAGAAUGAAAAUCAUAGUUUUCUAGUUACGUUUCUGGAAUAGUCUAGUGAUGGAAUAUCAUAGGUUCUUGUAGAAUGUCCUAGUGUAGUGUCACGAACAAGUAUCUAGUAGAAUUAUCUAAAUAUUCUAGAUUAGUGGUAGAAGAUAAAGUUCACUAGAUUAUUCUUGUAGAUGUAUCUAGAAGAAUUUCUAGAACCAUCCAUAGAUUAGAAUAAAUAGGGGUAGGUCUUGUACAUAUGCAACCAACCAAAAAACAAAUCAAUUUAAGUAGUCUUCUUCCAAAUCCAAGUUCUCUCUUUCAAUAUCUUCUUACACCUAACUUCCUCUUCUUAGUUGAAUCUUUCGAUCAUAGUUAACGAUCUUGGACUAGCAGAAGGUCUUUCCAGUUACACCUUUCUUCAGCUAUUCUCUACAUGGUAUCAGAGUUAGGUCCAUCCCCGUUUAGGCUCCCGGGUAGAGUGGGUAAAAGUUCCACAUUGAUUGGGGAAUGGAUUGGUGGUUUGCUUAUAUGAAUUUGGACAAUCCCCCUCCCCCCCCCCCCCAUGAGCUUGCUUUUGAGGUUAAGUUAGGCCCAAGAUCCGUUCUUGAAAUAAACACAAGUCAAUCUACGACUUUGAGGUUAAGUUAGGCCCAAGAUCCGUUCUAACAUGGUAUCAGAGUCAAAGUCGUAGAUUGACUUGUGUUUAUUUCAAGAUCGAGUUUGUGGUCGAUUCAACAGUUUUGUCUGAAUGGAUAUAAGCGGUCGCGUUAAUGGACUUGGAAUGGAGUUGUUGAAUCAGUCCAAUUACAAGGUAUGAAAGAUUUGCAUGGAAUCAUACCUUGUGGGUGAGGAUUUGUAGGAUGUUGUUAAAGGGAGUAACACAAGUCCUUCGGAAGACAAAUCGGAGAACAGUAGUGUAUACAAGAAGUGGAAGCAGAUUAAUGCGAAGGCAGAGUUUAUUCUGAAAAGCUCUAUCUCCUCUAGUUUAUUUGACCACAUCAUAAGGUGUAAAUCAGCUCAUGAAAUAUGGAGGCUGCUCGAUAGUUGUUCAACAAGAAAAAUAAAGCUCGACUACAAAUAUUGGAGAAUGAAUUGGAGAACACCACUCAAGGUAAUCUUUCUAUUACCGAGUAUUUUUUAAAUAUCAAGAACUUAUGUUCUGAGAUUUCUAUUUUGGAUAGGAACGAUUAUGUUCUGAGAUUUCUUUAUUGGAUAAGAACGAGGCUAUCUCUGAAGCACGAAUGAGAAGAUUUAUCAUUCGUGGUUUGAAGACAGAAUAUAUUCCCUUUGUAACAUCGAUUCAAGGAUGGUCUCAACAACCAUCCUUGGAGGAAUUUGAGAAUUUAUUUCACCACAUGAGUUACUAGCCAAACAACUGGCUAGUGAAUUUGUCAAAGAAAGAGAAGGAAACGCUUUUGUAACUGACAAGAGGAAUCUUAAAGGAAAAGCAAGAGAUAUGCCUCACUCUUAAUUCUCAGGUGGUUCAAGCUCGUCUGGAAAUAAAGAAGAGUUUUUUAACAAUUACAGUAAGAAGCCUCUCAAAUGCUAUCGGUGUGAAAAAAAUAGGACACAUAAGAAGAUAUUGCCGAGCCAUGGAGAGUAACAUAGCUCAAAUUGAAAAAGUUAUUGAAAAAGAAGAAGACCGGGGAAGAUGCUUAGCAGCUGACAGUCGAGCAAUAGAUGGAUUGGCCUUCAUAAAUUUGGAAAGAGAUUGGAUCGAAUAUAAUAAAAUUCAUUAUGUGGAGAAGGAAGACACUGAUAAGAAGCAAGAGGAAGCUAAAGACGUUCAAACCAGACAUGUGGUAGCUGCUAUCGAUGAAAUCAAAGAAGCAGAUCCCAAAAUUCUGAACGUGAAAGAUAUUGAAAUAGAUCCUAAGCAUACAGUGUCUAAAAAUCAAUAUACUAGUAAUGAAUUUAUCGGAGAAAGCAUUGAGGGAGAUGUAGUGGAAGUUUUAGUCUCUGAUUAGCCAUCCAUCACAUCAAGGUCAAUCACUGGCUCAGAGCAAAUAUUGAAAGUAGAUGGAGACGCUAAGGAUCUAAUGAACGAUGAAGUUGAAAGUAAAGCCUCAAUUUCAGAUGUAGAGACAUACAAUAUGACUGAAGAUCUAGAAACUGAAUUUAGUGGUGGAUCCUGUUAUGAUAUUGAGGCAUCAUAGAAAAUUGAUGAUCAGAUAGUCAUCAAAUUAAAUGAGGAGACUGAUACAGAUUAAAUAUCCUUGUGUUGUGGAGUUUCUUCAGAAAGAGUAAGUUCUAAAAUCUUGAAUUCUAGAGCUCCAAACUUUUUCAUCACAUGUGUGUCUCGAGAUAAUAAAGUUACGGAGGAGUUUAGAGAAAAAGGAAGUUCAAGAACUCAACAUGAUAAAACUUGACAAGGUUUCAAAGGGCAAAGAGGACUAUUGUUAAGUUAUCUCGCUAUAGAUAUGAAUAUUUUGUCAAUACAUAUUCUUGUCUCUUCCCAGGGCCAAUCAUUAACGGAAAAUCUUCAUUAUUUGAAGAAGCAAGAGGAGUCAUGCAAAAACUAUCAAGAUUUUCACUAAGGCGCGGUUCAAAGCUUCGUUUGAGUUCUUCUACAACAAUCUUAAGGUAGCUUCCAAGAAAAUUACUUUAAGGGCGAAUGUGAAAAAUAUCUAAAGUAAAUUUUUUGGCAGAAUAAAAAUCAUAUUUUUCUAGUUAUGUUUCUAGAAUAGUCUAGUGAUAGAAUAUCAUAGGUUUUUGUAGAAUGUCCUAGUGUAGUUUCAUGAAAAAGUAUCUUGUAGAAUUAUCUAGAUAUUCUAGAUUAGUGGCAGAAGAUAAAGUUCACUAGAUUAUUCUGGUAGAUGUAUCUAGAAGAAUUUCUAGAACCAUCUAUAGACUAGAAUAAAUAGGGAUAGGUCUUGUACAUAUGCAACCAACAAAAAAUCAAAUUAAUUCAAGUAGUUUUCUUCCAAAUCCAAGUUCACUCUUUCAAUAUCUUCUUACACCUAACUUCCUCUUCUUAGUUGAAUCUUUCGAUCAUAGUUAACGAUCUUGGACUAGCAGAAGGUCUUUCCAGUUACACCUUUCUUCAGCUAUUCUCACCUAUCACUAAAACACUUCUAACCAACUGAAUAUUCUUAUAAUCUGUUGUUAAUCCGUAACUAAAUAGGAACACCGUGAGAUUUUUAUGGUUUAGCUAUGAAAUUUUAUCUAUCGUUAAUUUCUUGUUUCUAAGAGUGAAUUUUUCAGGUGAACUUAUCGAAGAGAAAAAAUCAUAAUUGAGAAAUAUAAAUGAAAACCUUAUCAGAAAUUGGAUGAGUGAAUUGAUGAGAUAAAUGUAAUAUAGUAAGUAGUGAAGAAAACAUCAGAUAAGAAGAAACCAAGAAGUGCCAGUAAAAAAGCAGUGUCCAUAAAUAAUAACAGUAAUUUGAUGCAAAAAGUUCCUAAAAUUCAGAUUAUUAGGUUUGGGUGAAUUGGGAUUUUAGAGGGAAAUUAAUUAUUUUACUUAAUUAUUAAUUAGCCAAUAAAAAAACCACAUCGUUAAUGAAUUGAGGUCAAACUGAUCUGCUAAAUAAAAGUACAAAAUAGCCCCAAUAGAUAGAUGAGAAGGACAUUUUGGGCCCAAUAGGUAGACUGUUGAAAAUAUGUCAUUAGCAGUUUUAAAUUAUUAGAGUUCUAUGUGGCUUAAACUUAUGAAUUAGUUAUCUCUUUGUUAUUUGAAUUUAAAUUUGAAUUUAAGUUAGUUGCUUAUUUUAUAUUUACUAGUUAGAAAUUUAACUAUAAUUAUAUGUCUUUGAGUUAUUAAUAAAAUAAUUUUCUUUGACAAUACCAUUGCAAUAUUUUUUUUGAGUAAUUUUUUUCAUUCAAAAUUUCAAAAGGGCAUAUCAAAAUGAAAAAAAACCACAACAGACAAGGUAAACAUAGGUGUUUACCUUGCCCAUUAAAAAUUUCACGACGUUAGUCAUAUGUUAAAAUGUAAGGUAAAAUCAUAAUUUUACGUUAUAAGAUAAAUAGAGUCGCUUAUCUUAUUCUUUGACUGAAAAAGCGGGGAAUAAAUUUCCUUAGAGAAGGAGUGUCUGCAAGUUGGGUCUUACCGUUGACAAGGAGGGGAUAAAUUUCUUUUUGCUUGCUGAUUGUAAGUCGAGUAUGAAUUCUCACUUUGUAAGGUAGGAUCCCAUAUUUUCUUUGUAACAACUUCAAAAUUUACGAUUCUAUAUAGAGAGUGUGAGUGUAGAUUUUUUUCAUUUGCAUCAAUUCAAAAAUUUUUUUCUUUGUCAAAGUUCACACUCAAAAUAUUUGUUGAUCCUUUCAUUUCUUACUUUAAGAUGGAUGAUAAUAAGGUAAGAGUGUGAGUAUAGGUUACUUCGUAAGCUAAAAAGAUGAUUAAUAAUAUUGAUACUACAUACUUGUUUGUUAGGUAUUGAAAUAAUUAUAUAAAAAGAUGAUUAAAAAUACCUUAAAAUAUAAUUUUUUUGAUGAAAUAGACUUGGAACAAGAGCAGGAACAAAUAUUCAAAUAAUGUGAAUGGAGAGAGUGAAACAGGUGAACUUAUAAGAAAUAAAUGAAAUGAGUGGUUUAUAAAAGAAAAUUAAUAAGGUAAGGGACACAUUUUACCUCGUAAGGUAAAACAGUCUACCAACCUUGUAUUAUAGUUGUAAUAAAUUCUUCACUAAAUACUCCCUCCGUUCAUAAAUACUUGUUCACUUUUGACUUGACAUAUGCCUCAAGAAAUAAUAAAUAGAUGAGUGAUUUUACUAUAUUACCCUUUGAAUAUAAUAAUUUUUUUGCGUUGAAAAUGCAAUGAAUGGUGUAUUGUAUUUAAUACUAGAGGUAAAAUAGAUUAAAAUGGAUAAAUUAUCUAUUGAUUUCAUAAACUGAACAGAUAUUGUUGGACAUUCCAAAAUAAAAAAAUGAAAUAAAUAUUUUGAGUAACCUACACUCACACUCUUACCGCAUUAUCAUCCAUCUUAAAGUAAGAAAUGAAUAAGGAUCAACAAAUAUUUUGAGUUAUGAGCUUUGACAAUUUUUUUUUGAAUUGAUGCAAAUAAAAGAAACCUACACUCACACUCUUUAUAUAGCAUCAUGAAUUUUGAACCUGUUGCAAGGCAAACAUGAAAUCUUACCUUACAAGGUGAACAUGAGAUCUUACCCUCCAAGGUGAGAGUCCAUACUCAUACUCGACUUACAAUCAGCCAGCAAAAGGGAAUUUAUUCCCUCUCUUGUCAGCGGUAAGUCCCAUCUCGCAGACACUCAUUCCCUUGGGGAGUUUAUUCCCCAUGUUUUAAGUCAAAGGAUAAGGUAAGUGACUCUAUUUACCUUGUAAGGUAAAAUCAUGAUUUUACCUUGCACUUUUUCAGUCAAUAAAUAAGGUAAGUGAUUUUAUUUACCUUGUAAGGUAAAAUUAUGAUUUUAUCUUACACUUUACUAUGUGACUAAUGUCGUGAACUUUUAAUGGACAAGGUAAAUACCUGUGUUUACCUUGUCCGUUUUGGUAUUUUUUUUAUUUUGAUAUGCCCUUUUGAAAUUUUGAAUAAAAAAACUUGUUCUGUAGGCUUCGAACUCGUAUUUUAUCUCUUCAAUUCUUUCUCUAUUAUUUCUUUAGUUUCAAAGUUAAAAAUCAACAAUUGGUAUCUGAGCUAUUUUCUUGAGGGAUCUGUGAAUGAGAUGAAAUCUGAAAAUAACUUUUUCCAAAUAACUUCUCCUACCUUUAAUGGUGAGAAUUACCAACUUUGAAUAGUAAGAAUGAAGAUUUAUCUUGAGGCUUUAGAUCUUUGGGAGGCCGUGAAAGAGGAUUAUGAUGUUCUUCCAUUGCCUAAUAAUCCCACGAUAGCCCAGAACAAAAGCAAAAGGAAAAGAAAAUCAUAAAAUCAAAGGCAAAAACAACUUUAUUUGUUAGCGUGUCUCCAAUAAUUUUCAUGAGAAUUAUGGACCAUAAAUCAACAAAAAAAUUUUGGGAUUAUCUAAAGAAAAAUAUACAGUAGAUGAAAGAAUAUGAGGCAUGAAGGUGUUGAAUCUAAUAAGAGAAUUUGAUUUGCAAAAGAUGAAGGAAUCUGAGACCGUCAAAAAAUACUCAGACAAGCUUCUUGGCAUUGUUAACAAGGUAGGAUUGCUUGACAUAAAAUUUAAAGAUUCAAGAAUUAUUGAAAAAGUUUUUGUUACAAUGUCUGAAAUAUAAGAAGUAUCAAUAACUACCUUGAAAAACACAAAAGACCUGUCCAACAUUACCUUGGCAGAAUUAUUAAAUACAUUACAUGCACAAGAGCAAAGAAGACUUAUGAGGCAGGAUGGUAUGAUUAAAGGAGCUUGGGCAGCCAACAAGACUCAAAGCAAGGGUAAUAAUUUGUCACGACCCAAAAUAAAGGGCCAUAAUGACACUCGCCAUGGCGAACCUCAACGAGUAAGCCUAUCACUCAAAUUGAUACACAAAAGGGUAAAAAGACAGAAAUAACUCCAAGGUAAGACUUCUAGAAUAAAGCUGAACCAUAUAAGUAUAACAAAUGCAGAAAGAACCAUAAACAACAAUGCAACCAUAACUCCCAAAACUUGAUGUCAAUAGUAUAAGAACGUAUUUAGUACAACUUGUAUUUAAAUAAAAUACAUAAGAAAUCCCAUAAAUACAAUUUUGUCUCUGAAAACUAGUAAAUACAUAGUCUAAUGAUAGAGAAAGAUAGUAGAAGACAUUUGGAUGCCUGAAAAUCAUCUACAACCUUGAAAGCUUCAACAAUCACCCGAGUCAAGCAAUGUGGGGUGCACCCAAACCUGAAUCUGCACUAGAAGGGUACAACAGUAGGAGUGAGUACGAUCCAGUUAUACUCAGUAGGUAUCAUAGGCCGAUUGAGAAAAGUAGCAAAUAAGAUAUACAUAAUACAUACUAAGGGCACGUCAUCUACAAUUAGAAAUUGUCCCAAAACGGUAGCCCACACCACUUGCACUAAUAGUUCUAAUAUACAUGUCUCAUAUAUUACAACAACACAGCCAAGUAGAGAAAAAGUAUACAUUAUAUCACAUACAAGUAGGGACAAGAAAGGACAAUAUACAUACAAUAUCAUUGAACACAAGUAUAAGAAGAUAGAAUAAUUAGAUAGGUAUUAAGUCAAAACAGAAGUAUAAUCACAUCAUAGACAUGAUAAAGUAAACACAAUAAGAAUGAUAAUGAUGAUGAUGAUGGUGAUGAAAAUGAUUUUAAUGAUAAUGAGGGUGAAGCAUGAGGUUGUCGCACAACAUCCGUAUACACCUACGAAGGCUAGCCUCUCGACGUAGGACCCGUGAAGGGUUUGUCAACCCAAUACUACCCCGUAUAUACCAAUGAAGGCAAAUAUCCUGAUAUAGGACCCAUGAAGGGUUCGUCAACCCAUAUACAAUCAAUAUCUAUGACUUUUCUCCGAUAUAACCUUUCGAGAAGGUCUAUAAAAUCCAAUAUCUAAUACCAAUAUCCAUGACUCUUCUCCGACAUAACCUUCAGAGAAGGUCUAUAAGAUCAAAUAUCCAAUACCAAUAUCCAUGACUCCUCUUCGGCACCUCUCUGGAGAAGGUCUAUAAAAUUUGAUGUUCUCAGUAUUUCUAAAGUCUCUAAUAUUUUCAGUGUUUCCAGAGCACAUACAUAGCAAGAGACACAAAUCAACUACAUAUUCAACAACAAUAAUUAAUUAUAUAUAUAUAUAUAUAUAUAUAUAUAUAUAUAUAAAGCAUACAACAAACAAGUGAAAUUAUGUAUGUGAUGCCAUGGGGAUGAUGAUGCAAUGUUCAACAACCAACCAGUAUACCAAUUACGUGAGCCAAUUAUCCACUUGUUAUUUCCAACCAUUCAUAAAUUUCCACAUGAUUCAUAUGCCAAUAAUGUAUGAAUAAUAUACCAUAUACCAAUGGUACCCAAUGGGAAUUCCAACAAUACAAUACCAUUAUUCACAGGUAUUUUAGGCUAUCAACAUUACAUAGGGCCCCACACGAUCACAUAUAUCACAUAAUAUCUUAAAACGAACAAUCAAAUCACAUAUAGGCCCUACAAUGGAACAACACAUUAAGGUAACCAAUUGCAUGAUUAGUUCCCAUUCCCUUAACAUGUAUUUUUACACAAAUUAACUACUCAACCCAGUCUGAAAGAAUUAAGCCAUAACCUACCUCGAAUGCCAAAAUCGGUCUGCUACACUUUGAUCCCAAAGUCCUACUCCUCACAGAAAAUCCCAAAAUCAACUAAAACUUAAAUAUAUAGAAUUUACGCAUCAAAAAAGCCAACGAUACCCAUAUUGCCUACUUUGGUUAGGGGUUAAAACGGAAACCCAAAAUGGAUUUUCAAAAAAGAAAGGCAAAAUUGUAACUUUAUUUCAAAAAUAGAUUUCCCAUACCUUUAGUAAUCUACAGUUGAAAACCCAAGUCAAAUCGAGUUAAAAAUGAGGUUCAAAUUGACGAAAAACCAAUUUUAAACUUUACCGGGUAAAACCUUUGAAAUCCAUUUUAAAAUCAAGAAUCGAAGUUGUUUUGAAGGUUAAAUUAAGGAAAAACUAGUAAUUAUAGAAUUAGGAACACUAUCUUCUGCCAUGGCAGAUGACAGUUGAAACUUGGUUAAUUAUCCAAGUUUUUGCUAAGUCCUUGGGAUUCAUUCAGAAUCUGAUAUAUGAAAAUGAACUAUGUUACCACACUAUUCGAUGCUCCGGACUCAUUGGCGAUAUCAAAUUUUUGAAAAGACAUUAUUUUCACAAAGUUGACCCCCAAAACCCGAAAUUAUAAUUUUUCAAAUCGAGGGUUGAAAUGAGAUUUAAAAGCCAUAAAAUCUGACCAAAUAUGUUUCCACCCUAAAAUCGAUGUUUUGGAUCUGCUGGAAUAGUUCGUUUAGUCAUUUGUCACACGGAUCAAAAUAUAACCACAUAAGUCCAUAAUGAGGCUCUCAAAGCCUCCAAAAACCACAAUGUAACACAAAUGGAACCAAAAUACAUCGGAAAUCAUUCCAAUCACCCCCAUACCCCAGAAAUACCACAAUGCAACUAUGGAGAGGGGUAAAAUAGUCAAAUAAUAUAAAAAAAUAAUUCAUAUAUUUCAUAAAAAUUCAAAUCAUUACAUCAUCCACCACUAAAAAUCUAGUUCAUCCUCGAACUGAGCUAAAGAAAUAUCUGAAUCAACAAAGACCUGGGGAUAAAAACUACGCAUAUCAUACUUGACCUCCCAAGUAGCCUUAUCUCAAUGUCGAUGUCGCCACUGUACCUUAAUCAUAUAAAUAACUUUAGAAUGCAACCGCAUAACAUUCCUAGCCAAAAUUGAGACUCACUCCUCAAUGAAAGACAACCGCUUAUCUAACUAAAUUGACUCCCAAUGAAUGACAUGAGACUUAUCAGGAAUAUAAUGGCAAAGCAUAGAAAUAUUAAAAACUGGAUGAAUAACUAAUAAAUCUGGGGGCAAAGCUAACUCAUAAACACAUCACCAACAGUCUGAGGAAUCUCAAUGAGCCAAUAUACUUAGGGCUAAGCUUGACCCGCCUCCCAAAUCUCAUCACACCCUUCAUGGGUGAAACUCAAAAGAAAAUAUGAUUACCAACACUAAAUCUCAACAAUGCAGCCAUAACUCCCAAAACCUGAUGUCAAUAGUAUAUGAACAUAUCUAGCACAACUCAAAUCCAAGUGAAAUACAUUAGAAAUUCCAUAGCUAUAACUCUGUCCCUAAAAAUUAGUAAAGACAUAGUCUAAUGAUAGAAAAAGGUAGUAGAAGACAUCUGGACACUUGAAAAUCAUCCACUACCUUAAAAGCUUCAACAAUCGCUCAAGUCAAGCAAUGUGGAGCACACCUGAACUUGAAUCUAUACCAAAAGGGUACAACAGGAGUGAGUACGGUCUACUUGUACUUAGUAGGUAUCGUAGACCGAUCGAGUAAAAUAUAAAAUAAGACAUACAAAAUACACACUAAGGGCACGUCACCUACAAUCAGAAAAUGUUCCACAACGGUAGCCCAUACCACUUGCAAUAAUAGUUCUAAUAUAAAUAUCUUAUAUAUUGCAAUAACACAACUAAAUAGAGCACAAAUAUACAUUAUAUCACAUACAAAUAGGGAAAAUAAAGGACAAAGACAUACAACAUCAUUGAGCACAAGUAUAAGAAGAUAGAACAAUUAGAUAGGCAUUAAAUCAAAGUAGACGUACAAUCACAUCACAACCACAAUGAAGUUAAAACAAUAAGAAUAAUGAUGAUGAAGAUAAAAUGAUGAUAAUGAUAACAAGCAUGAAGCAUGAGGUUGUUGUACAACCUCCGUAUACACCUACAUAGGCAAGCCUCGGACAUAGGACUCAUGGAGGGUUCGUCAACCCAUAUAAUACCCUGUAUACUCCUACGGAGGCAAGCCUCUCAGUGUAGGACCCAUGAAGGGUUCGCAACCCGUAUACAACAAAUAUCUAUGACUCUUCUCCGGCAUAACCUUUGGAGAAGGUCUAUAAAAUUCAAUAUCCAUGAUUCUUCUCCGACAUAACUUUCAGAGAAUGUCUAUAAGAUUUAAUAUCCAAUACCAAUAUCUAUGACUCCUUUUCGACACCUUUCUUGGAGAAGGUCUAUAAAAUUUGAUGUUUCCAGUAUUUCUAGAGUCUUUAAUAUUUCCAGUGUUUCUAGAGCAUAUAUAUAACAUAAGACACAAAUCAAGUAUACAUUCAAUAACAACAAGCAUAUAUAUAAAACAUACACUAAACAAGUGAAAUUAUGCCUAUGAUGCCAUGAGGAUGAUGAUGCAAUAUUCACAACCAGCCGAAAUGCGUAUUUUCACAACCAACUAAUAUACCAAUUAUGUGAGCCAAUUAUUACUUAUUAUUUCUAACCAUUCAUAAAUUCUCACAUAAUUCAUAUGCAUAUAAAGUAUGAAUAAUACACGAUACAUAAAUGGUACCCCAGUAGGCAUUCCAACAACACAAUACCAUUAUUCACAGGUAUUUUAGGUUAUUAAUAUCACUAGGACCCCACAUAGUCAUACUUAUGACAUAAUAACUCAAAACCAAUAAUCAAAUCACAAUAAGCCCCCUCACGGGUACAACAUAUUAAGGUAACUAAUUUCAUAAUUAGUUCUCAUCCCCUUAACAUGUAUUUUCUAUACAAAUUAACUACCUAACCCUGUCUGAAAGAGUUAAGCCAUAACAUACCUCGAAUACCAAAACUGGUCCGCUACACUUCAAUCCCGAUGUCCUACUCCUCACGAAUGAUCUUAAAAUUAAUUAAAAUCAAGAAAUAUAAAAUCUAUGAAUCAAUAAAAAGUCAGCGAUACCCAUAUUGCCUAUUUUUUAUUCGGGGUCAAUGGACUCUUAAAAUGAGUUUUUGAAAAAGACGGGCAAAAUCAUAACUUUACUUCAAAAAUGGAUUUCCCAUACCUUUAAGAAUCUAUAGGUAAAAACCCAAGUCAAAUCGAGCUAAAAACGAGGUUCAAAUCAAAGAAAAACCAUUUUAAAACUUUAUUGGGUAAAACCUUUAAAAUCCAUCUUAAAAACAAGAAUCGAAGUUGUUUUGAAGGUUAAAUUGAGAAAAAACUAGUAAUGAUAGGAUUAGGAACAUUAUUCAAGUGAAAAAGAGUAAAAUUGAGGUUUAAAAUCAAGCACUAAGGUUUUGAAAUUUUGAGAAAUUAAUCAAGAAAUUCACUAAGAGAAGGGUGAAUUCCAACCUUAAAUCCAUAAAAAAAUCAAGAAAUAGAUAUUAAUCUAGCUUUCCAAACACCCAAAAUUUUAAUUUUUAAGCUCUCAUACUAUUUUAGGCUGUUUGACUCUUAAGAAUCAGUGCGAGAUAGCCAAUUUAUGACCUAAAGGGUC
rnacentral:lncRNA from 1 species